AGGCAGAACGGUCGCCGCGUCGCCUCAGCACGGACCUCCAGGGAGCUCCUCAGCAAGAUCCUGCCAGGGCGCCCCUCAGCGCGAUUCUGCCGGGGUGCCUCUCAGCGUGGUCCUCCCCGGGGCUCCUCAGCACGAUUCUCCCGGUGCGCCCCUCAGCGCGGUCCUCCUCGGUGCGUCAGUCAUCGUGGUUCUCCCCGGCGCGCCCCUCGGCGCGGUUCUCCUCGGGGCUCCUCAGCGCGGCGCUCUUCUGGGGGCUCCUCGGCGCAGUUCUCCCCGGGGACUCCUCGGCGCCGUUCUCCUCGGGGCACCCGGGGCUUUUCGGCGCGGUUCUCCCCGGGGGUUCUUCGGCGCGGUUGUCCCCGGGGGUUCUUCGGCGCGGUUCUCUCCGGGGGCCUCUCGCCGCGGUUCUGUUCUCCCCGGGGGCUCCUCAGCAUGGUUCUCCUCCGCGCGGUCCUCCCUGGGCCUCCUCAGCGCGGCACUCUCCUGGGGGCUCCUCAGCGCGGCACUCUCCCCGGGGGCUCCUCAGCGCGGCACUCUCCCGGCGGCUCCUCAGUGCGGUUCUCCCAGACUCUCCUCAGCGCGGCCCUCCCCAUCUCUCUGGGAGGGUUUGAACACGGUCAGCACGGACCUGGGCGGACGGCGCGGGACGGGUGAUCACUGGCGUUGCUGAGGUGAGCUGUGUGCCCCGCGGCCGUCCCAGAUCACAGGCGUCAGCAGUGCAGCCUGGCCUGGGCAGUGCGCUCCCAUCUGCACCUUAUGGACAGCGUGGCCAGGGUCGAGGUCCGAGUUCCUGGCCGCGUCCCAAGGAUCGGAUUCCGGGUCUAUAGUUCUCAUGGUGGUUCAGAGUGGGCUGAAUUGGGAUUGGAGUCUGGAAUCCGCAUCGUGGUUCUGAGUCCGCGCUAUUGGGAUGGAAGUUGGGAAUCCAUGUUGUGGUUUUGAGUCAAAGCCCGAAUUGGGACCGGAGUCGGAAAUCCACUUAGUGGUUCUGAGUCAGGGCCCGAAUUAGGAUCGGAGGUGGGAAUCCCCGUUGUGGUUCUGAGUUAGGUAUCCUAGUUGGGAUCAGAAUUCGGGUCUAGGGUCCACAUCCUGGCUGGGAGUUUGCCUGAGUUGGGAUCUGAGUAGUUGGGGUCCCAGUCAGUCCGGGUCUGGAGUCCGCAUGGUGGUUUUAGGUAGGGCCUCAUUAGGGACAGAGGAUCGGGAGUCUGAGUUGGGGACCUGAAUCCCGGUCUGGAGUCUGCAUCAUGGCUCUGAGUUGAGAUCCAAGGGAGGUCCGAGUUGGCGACUGGAGUCAGGGUCUGGAGUCUGUCUUUGGGUAGAGGUUCUGAAUGGGGGGCUCUGAGUUAAGAGAUUGGGAUUGGGGUUAGAGGUCUCAGUGGGGUAUGGGAGUCAGGAAUUGAAGUCGAAGUUCUGCCUCUAGGUGGGGAUUCUGAGUCAGGAAUUAGGGGGCGAAGUAAAGGUUGCAGUCUGAGUUGGGGGUGGUGAUCACCUGCCAGGUGAGAGGUAGUGGUAGAAGUCUCUUGGUCAUAUUGGAGAUGAGAGUUGAUCAGAUGCAGGUCUCAGUCUGGGUAGUAGGCUUGAAGGGCCACCACUAUGUUCAGAUCCCAGUACCCCACUGUGGUCCCUGAGCAGGUCAAAUAGCCUUUUAUAUAAAAUUGAGAGUAAGAGUGCCUUCCCACAGCACUGUUCUGGUUAUGAAAGAGAAUAAUUCAUCCAGGUAGAAUAGUUCUGUCUUAGAUUAUCACAAAGUAUAAAAACUUUCCUGAUAAUAUCCACAUUUGAUGUGCAUUUACCAGUUCUUUCUUUACUGUGGUGCCCCUUUUGCUAGACCAAAAGCUCCCAACGAGGAACUCUGUUUUGUUUUCUGCUGCCUGCUCUGUACCCAGCCAAGAGCCUGAUACACAGCCUUACUCAGUCAGUACUUGAAGGAAAGCAGGCAGGCAGGAUUAACCAGAUUUCUAUGGUGUCUCAAAUGAUCCAUUUCUGCACCUGUUUUCCAGAUACUCAGUAGGAGAAAAAUUUAAGGAUUGAGUUGCUUGAUUAUGGGUGUAUUUUAAUGUGUUUCCUAACAUGCUGAGGAGAAAAGUGGGUCUGUUUCAGGAUUUAUGCUCCAGCUAGAGGGAUUUUUUAAAAUUGCGAAUCAGAGCAUGUCCAAAUUCAGAUAGAAAGCACAAGAAAACUAUAAAGAAUUUCCCUUAUGAAUGUAGAUGCAGAAGUUCCUUGUACAAUGCUAGCUAACUGAAUCCAAUAAUAUGUAUUAAACAACAAUUCUUAAACAAGUGGGAUUGCUCUUAGGAAUGCAAAGAUGAUCCAAUAUCAGAAACUUUAUCCAUGUAAUUCACAUUAAGAGGCUACAGGAGAAAAACCAUAUGGUUCCCUCAAUAGAGGCAGAAAAAAAUGAUGUGAUAAAGUUUAACGCCUAUGUGUGAUUUUGGGGUAGUGGAGUACACCACUUAGCAAGCCAGGACUAGAGAGGAACUUCUUCAACUUGAUACAAGUUAUAAACCAAAACUUAACUUUUCAGUAAACUUGAUAGAGAAAUUAAAAGUGUAUCAUUCUCUUUAAGAUAAGGAGUAGGCCAAGGAUGUCAUCCUGGCCAUACCCUAAUACAAGAAAAAGAAAUGGGGAUGUGAGGAUCAGGUAGGAAGUGAUAAAACUUAGUGUAGCUCAUAGGGUUGAUGGUCUCCAUAAAGAUUCUCAAACAUUUUGGUGUUACGACUUGUUGUAUUCUUAAAAGUUAUUGAAACCCCCAAAGGGCUUUUCUUGAUAGAGAUUCUAUCUGUUGAUAGUUACCAUCUUAGAAGUUAAAACUAAGAAAUGUUUAAAGCAGAACUAUACAAGCACAUAUUCCACUGGGGUCAUGGUGUGCUGCCUCUGGAAAACUCUUUAUCUUUGUGAGAAUGAAAGAAAAGGCAAAUAAUGUCGAGUAUUAUUAUGAAAAUGUUUUUGACCUUUCCUGAAAGGGUCUGGGGGGCUCUCUGGAAUCCCCAGACUACACUUUGAAAAUUACUGGGCUACAUGGAAAAAAAAAAUUAAGGAACUUAACAACUAAAGAGAGAUUUCAGAUUUCAGAGAGGUUUUGGAUAUAAGAUCAGUGUACUCAAAACAAAAAACAAAAACAAACCACAUUUCUUUAUGCCAAUAGCAACUGACUAAAAAAAAGCAUAAUAGAGAUUAGGACAGCAAUCAGAAUAGCAGCAAAAUUUAUACCAGUCUAGGAAUUAACAAAGACGACGACUUUUAUGGAAAAAAUUUUAAAACUCUAUUGGAGGAUAUAGAGGGAGAUCUUUCCAUAUGCAGAGACAUUUUAUUUUCUUGAACAGGGCAACUUGGCAUUAGAAUGACGUCAGGAUUUUCCAAAUCUGUUAAGUUCAACAGGACUCCACUCAAACUUCCAGUUGGAGGGCUUGAGUAAUUUAACAAACAUAUUCUAAAAUGUAUGUGGAAGAAAAAUAUUUGUAAAUGCCAACUGAACUUUUGAAAAGGAGAGCAGAGGACUUCUGCUGGCAGAUACCAGGGCACACGCCAACUUCAGCAAUCAGAGCGGUGUGGUGACAGAGGCCCAGAAGAGAGCUCAGAGGUAACUCCAAGUCUAGAGGAAGGGGACAUGUGAUAAAGGUGGCACCACAUAUCAGUGGGGACUGUUCAGAAGAUGAUGUUGGAAAGCCAGCCCUAAAAUGGAGGAAUAGGAAUAUGGAUUCCUAACUGAGCCCCUAGGAAAAGUAGACUCCAAAUGGACUAAAUAUUUGAAAGCAAAAGGUAGUUGCCAUUUGUUUAAUAGGAGAAAAAAUGAAUAAUCUCCAGGGCCAGGGUGGCCGUGGGGUUCUUAAACAGGAUCCAGAAAGCACAAACCUCAAGACUAAAAUGUAUGAACUUGAAUGCAUUAAUGAUUAUGGAUUAAGGAUUUCUGUUAAAUAAAUCCAUCAUGGCAAGGGUCAAGACUGUUUUCAUAAUAAUACUAAGGAAACAAUUUGCGUUUUUCACUUUUACACUCAUGAAUGUAACUUUGCCAUGACUCAUUACAAGAUAUUUGAAACAAUUAAAGCUGAGGAGGGAACAACAGCUAAAAUAUACCAGAAAGCACCACAAAUCAUUAAGAAAAAGGUAGGAAGAUUGCCAGUUUGCAGGAGGGUUAACAAACAGAUGAAAAUUUGCCCAAGCUAAUCAGUUAUCAGAGAAAUGUAAAUGAAAGCAACAGCUAUUCUUCAUAGGAGAAGCAUUAGAAAGUAGGAUAAGGCCAAGUGUUGGCAGAAGGCAAGGAACAAGCCUCCCUGUGUGCUGCAGGUGGGGACGGAGACAGGCACAGACGUUCUGAAGAGCUGGCCAACACUUCUUCCUCAAAUAAAAUAUUUUAUACCUGUGGCCCAGCAGUUUCCCUCCUAAGUAAACAUGCUGGAGCAGUUCUCACCCAGAACAACGAGAGGCUGUGUGUGUGCAUGCUCAGGGCAGCAUGGCCCAUAGGGGUGGGCAGUUGGAGCUGGUCACUGUGGUUAGGAGCAGGGGACUAGAUGUACACUUCACAAGAUAGAGACGCGUGGAAACACAGUGCUGAGUGACACAAAUGCCAAACAGAAAGAGGGCCUCAGUACAUGACUGUGUAUUUAAAUUAAAAUUACACACCACCCAGACACGCAGUACUAGGGAGUGCUCGUGAGUGCACACACACACACACAAUGAUAUAAAUAAAUUACCCUGGAGAAGCUGUUUGUGUAGGGAGGAGAGCAAGGAUAGAGGCUAGAGAUGAAGUGGAAAAGCAUGGAGAGGAAGAGAGCGGUGACUUUAUGCAGACCCUUACAGGGUGACAGUGUUUCAUAGGCUGAGGGCUGUGAUCAACUCUGUGCAGAGUCCCAAAAGCCAAGAACCAACGAAUGAAUGUGCCUCCAUGACUCUCCUGCCAGAUACCCUCUAGUGGCUUCUAUUUCUAGGAAAUAAAAUUCAAAUUCCAUCAGGUUUUUACAAGAUCUGCCCUGCUUACCUCUCUGACCACUGUCCUCCCUCACUGAGCUUUGGCUCUGCCAGCCUUCUUCUUCUUUGUUAAAUCUGCCAAGUAUCCCUCCUGCCCCAAGGCCUUCACCACCUCUGCCUGGCUUGUCUUUUCUGGUGAUCUUCCCUUGACAAUUCCUUCUUCUUAUUUAAAUCUCACAGGAAAUUUUGCUCUGACCUGCCAUAUCUGUCAUCCCCUUCAGUCACUCACUAGCUGACGACUACCUUUCGAGUCUCUGCAAAGCACAGGCUACGCUUUUCUAGUUCCUUAGACAUCUACUUAUUUGUUGGCUGCCUAUCUCUUCCACCGGAAGAGAGGCCCCAAGAGAGCAUAUCUGUCUUCCGUAUAGGGUCCGCACAUGGUGGGUGUGUCACAGAUUUCUGUUGAAUGGUUUCAUUCAUUUAUUGAACGAAGGAAGAGGCCAGGCCAGGAAAGUGUGCCUCCAUUUUCACAACUCAGUGAGAAAGCAAAUAGCAUGUCAAAAUCUGACCCCUUGCAACCAGGGUUUCUUAGCCAGCCACACUGGUAAUGCUUGGGACAGGAUGUAUCUUUGUUGUGAGGGGCUGUCAUUUAUAUUGUAAGAUGUUUAGCACCCUGCCUGGUCUCUACCUAGUUGAUAUUAGUAAUUCUCCCAUAGUCAUGAUAGCCAAAAAUAUCUCCAGACAUUGCCAUAUGUCCCCUGGGGGGCACCGCAGAUGACAACCACUUCCUUAGAACAGCUCUUGGGACUGGGAUGGUGUCUCUGCUGUGGCUCUUUAAAGGCAGCAGGCCCUGGCUUGCAUCCUGCCACAUCUAACACCUAUAGCCUCACCACCUCGGUGAGAAAGACCCUGGCCCAGGCCUGGCCAAUCAGAGUACCCUCUUCCCUGGUCAGCAGUAUAAUUUGUUUGGCAAGCACUUCCAGUCCCACAACCUAUGGGCUGCCACCCAGAGGUUUAGUUGGAACUACGUGUCAGCUGCCGUCCCUCAGCCAUCUAUGGCAUGGGCACCUGUGGCUUGACCAAGUUGGAGGUGGCCUAGAGAGGCCGGGCUGGGCCUGCUCACCUUCUCCAGUUAGUGCAGACUGAUGAAUGAGUGGUUCUCAGCGGAUACCGGAUCCAGGUUUGCAGUACACUCCAGGAGGAGGACGAGUAGGGUUUCCCUCAGAGCAGGCCUGGAUGGGAGGGCAAGGGGUGGCCUCUAAUACUGCCUUUCCUUCCGGUGCCUUUAUCAGCCUGUGCCAUGCUCCUCUGAACUGGCCGGCCCCAGCAUGUCCAGGUUACUGGCAGGAGCCUGUAUAACCCAGGGUUCCAGUCACACCAGCCAGGAAGGCCCAUGAGGCUGGAGCGCACCCAGUCUCUGGCUGCUCUGUCUGCGGAACUAAAAGCCUUUCUCCCAGAGCCUUUCCUACGGCUGGGCGAAGCUCUUGUUUGCAAUUUAAAUGUGGCCUCAUUUAUGGAAGAAUCCCUGCUCCUCCGAAAAGCCUUGGGCUCAACCUCCCUAGCAGCCCGGGCCUCAGCCAGGAGAAGAAAUGGAUCUAAAAGGCCUUUCUCCUGCUAAUUGUAGCAAUUAGCAUUAGAGAAUGGGGACUCGAUGGGGGGCCAGCGCCUGGCAAAACAAGCUUAUUCCCAGCUUAGGCCCAGGCCCAGCUCCACACACUGCUGCUUGGCCAGACUCGGCCCCCACCCAGGGUCUGGUUGGCUUCAGGGCAGGGAGAGAGGGCCCAGGCCUGUGGGUGCUAAGAGCAGUUGUGGAGGGUGUGCAUCUGAGUUGUUAAGCCUGGUAGCUGUACAGGUAGCCCUGGGCUAUGACUUGUGGUCCUCUCAGAAAAGGGUCUGACUGGAACGCAGAGCCAGACCAGAUAUUCAUGAGUGGAUCACAGAGUGUAGACUGAGGGCUAUCUGGUGAUUGACAGAAAGUAGUCUUGGGGCAAAUGACUCUUAAAGAGUAAGGAGCCAUUCCCCUCUAUGGCUAACUGGAUGCCUUUCUCUCCCCCUGCUCCAGAAAGGACUUCCUGUUCCUUCACUGAGCGUGCUUGCUUAUGAGGCUUCUGGAAACCAGGAGAGUUCAGUGGGCCUCAUUAUUGAGCGUAUGGGCAGGACAACCUGCUUGGGACAUAGGCCAUGCUACAGUUGAUUUUAGCCAGCUUGCUGCAUCUACACAGCACAGUGCCUUCCCAGGCAGUGAAUUAUGUCUAACAGGCAGGGGAAUGAUCAUUGCCUCAUGUUAGGGAUGCAGUCAUUCAAGAAAUAUUUGUCAAACACUCAGCAGGUACUAGACCCUGGCCCAGAGGGAGGGAUUUGAUAGGAGCAGGGACCUGCCUACCCUCCCAGGGUUAGUGGACAAAGGGGAGAAAGACUAACUAAUGUUGAAGGACCGUUUGCACCCUGAGGGGAGUGCUGAGGCCUGGGAGCACAGCAGGUGUAUAGCAGGAACCCACUGGAACUAGCCUGGGGUCUGAAAAACUCCCUUGGGGAAAGUGGCAGGGGCAGGCCAAGGGCCCUCUGGUGGUAGGGAGCCUGUGAGCACCUGGGAUGGAAAGAAGCCAAGCAUCUGAACUACCAGAAAGGCAGCUGCAGGAUUAAGCAAGACCCACAGGUCUCUAAACUUUGAAAGGAUGUCUGUCCACUGAGUAGAUAAUUGAUUGGAAUGGGGCAGGGGAUGUGAGAAUGCCAGUUAGGAGAUGCCUGCAGUACAGAGAAAUGGUGGCCUAUCAGGACAGUGGCAAUAGGGAUGGAGGGAAGCAGGGAACCUCUAGAACUAUGGAUGGGUGAAGUAAGCCUGGCUUGGUGAUGGGCUUGAGGUGAUGGGCAGGUGGUGAGGAAGCGGGUGUAUCGGAAAUGACCCCAGAACUUCUGACUUGUGCCACUGAAAGGAUGGGUGACACUGAAAGGACAGGGGCCUUCAGUAGAGUGGGCUAUAAAAUGAUGGAGGCUGUGGAGAGGAGGUGGGGGCAGGUGACUGGAAUGUGGGUCUGGCUGGGUUGGAGAGACAUUUGGGGGGUCAGGGCCUCACAGGUGGUCUGGAAGCCCUUGGUGCUGAGGGAACAGCUUAGGGAAAUGGUUUGCAUAGAGAAAGGCACUGGCAUUUAGUGGCCAUGCCAGAAGGGAAAACCUGCCAAGGAGACUGAGGAUAGAGCCAGAAAGAUGGCAAGAAAGCCAGGAGAACUGGAGGGAUGGAAAAGAGGACCUAGGGGUCAUGGUCCUGGCAGAGGUCACAUUGGAUCCAGUGCUUGUGAUUCUCUGAUUGCUGGCAGUGGAUGGCCACUGGCCUGCAAAUGGCCCUAGUGGAAUGUCCCCUGCCUGUGUGGCUCCCUGUGGGCUGCCUCUCCCCUGGACAGAUGGGGAGAGACCCCUUCCCCACCUGGUUCUCUGUUUCACCCUUGGAACUGUGGCGGUAAAGAGGACCUCCCCACAGUACGUGCAGGGAACAAGCUAGGUUGACUCCCUCAGGGAGGCCUCGUCCUUGCUGAGGUAUUUCAUAACCUCAGGAUAGAGAAAUCCCCCCAACUUUAAUGCAAAGCCAAGCAAGCUGAAAAAUGGCCUUGAAUAGGCUGAGAUGAAAAAACAAAGAGGCUGUCAACAUCAGAGACUCAGUGGGGGCAGGGAGCUUCAGUGGACUCCCCACAGACAGCAGUUCCUGGGCUUCUAUGCCCAGACCCAGAGGCCUGAGCCCAAGAUGUCAGGAUGGGUGGUCACUGUAAGUGCAGUGGAUUGUAGCUCAGGGGUGAGACAUCGCCUUUUUCUUGUCAGCUCUCCUUCCUGAUUAGUGGCUCAAACAGCCUUCCGAGACUCAAGGGGUUAACUGCAGAUCCUCUAACUCCUCCACUUGCUAAUUUUUAAACACAGCUGAGCUCUGAGCACCCCUCCCAAGGCUGUGAGAGGCCAGAGGCCAGCACAGACUCUGCACCAGGUCUGCACAGCCUCCACCCCUACUGUUGUCAGGAAUCUGCAGGCAUCUAGAACAAAGGUGCCUCCAUUAUUUCCCUCACCCAGCAUAUCCUGAUACCUGAGCCAAGAGUUCACCCAGAGCUUUUGCCCACUUCAUUGAUGGUCUGGUGGGCUUUUGUUGACACAUACCCGUGACUCCCAAAUGAACCUUUCAGGUUGGCUUAAAGCCGCUGGGACCUACACAUGACAAAACCCAGACGGAAACAGUGGCUUACACUCCUGUGUCCCUAAAGGUACCUGUUCCUAACAGUGGGAGUGCCAGAGCCUGGAAGCUGGAAGCCAAGGAGACAGGGACCUCCCUCCUGCUGACCCCCUGCCAGGCCACAUCCACCUAAGGGAUUUGGGAUCAUACUCCAUCUUCAACCACUGGGAUCAAAUGGAAAGCCCUCAGGAAUUCUGAGAGACAGCCCCUAUACCUAUGUGCACUGACACACAUACACUGACAAAUACGCAUUCUGACACAUAUAUGAACAUGCACAUAUGUGUGCCCCACUCCCUGCCAGGAGGUGGGUUCUGUCCCAUCUUUGACAUGUUACUUCUUGUCCUUCCCUAGGCCCAGUGGCACUUUCUUUGUGAUAGGUGCUGAGACCCCCCCGACUGGGCCCAGUGGCUGUUCCCAGGACCCAGUCUCUGCUCUUAUCUUAACCCAGCUCUAGCUCCCAGGACCCCAGCCUUUCGCAGGGAGAGAGAUAGCUCUUUUGGUCUGGCACAUGUUCCAUGCCAAGUAGUGGAAACAGCAGCUGCAGGGCAGCCUCAGACUUGACAUCAUUUAAUCCUUGUGACAAUCCUACAGGGAGGAAGACACUACACAUAUGUGCAGAUGCAGCAAGGAGCAGCUCAGCCACAUGGAAUGACUUGCUUGAGGUCACCAGGCACUUGACACAGCAGAGUUUAGCCCAGUCUCUGGAGAGACCAGCCUUCCACAUCCUGUCAUGCUGGGGAGGGCUGCCCGCUUUUUGUCCCUGCUCCCCCAGUUCUAACCCCGGAAGAGCGAUUGUCCCUGCUGUGCCUUCAGCCCAGACAGAAGCAGGCUAGGAGAGGGGAGGAGAGGCAGGGCUGGCCCUCGGAAGGCUCACCUUCCUCAACAGUUCUCUGCUUGGGCAAAGGUCUUCCAAGCAGCCAGGCUCUGAGGCUAGUCACUGUCAUCGUUGGGUGAGGCAGCCUGGGAGUACCAGAAGUUGGAGCAGGUGGGAACCUUCCCCAGGGAUGGGGCUGGAUAGGCAGGGGUGGGUGCUAAGUGGCAGGCCACAACCAGGCACCUGGGAGGGCCAAGCACCACACUGAGAACGCAGUGCUUCCCCUCCCCUCCUAGGCUGCUCAGGAACCCAUCAGUCUCCUGUAAACAAAUGAGACUAAGUCUCUGGCACUCUAGGCCCAGGUGCAAAGGACAGCUGCCCCUGCAGCUACUCACUCUGCCCUGGCCCUCUCAGGAGGCUUGUGACCUCUGCACCUGCUGGCUUGUUUUGUUCCUAAAAUACCCGGAUCCUUGAGAAUCUAGAAGACACCACUGCUAACAGAUUUCCACAUCAUUCAUUCUGUUCUUCCUGUGCAAGCUUCAUGCUGGGACAGGGACCAUAAAACAAGGUGACCCAAAACCUUCAGCAGAAUGCAGGUAGGCAGAGCAGAGGUCUCUGGGAGUGUCAUUCCAAGGCAGUGUCUUCCUCCUCCCCUAUGCUCCCCAUUUCCCAAGAGUGGGCUUCUUCCACCCCACUCAAGCACCUCUUCCCAAGGCUGACCUAAAGGCCUCAAGCUCUGCGGAUAGGGGCAGUCCUGAGGUGGCAUUGAGUCUUAGGGUUGGAGUGGGAGAUAUCUGUGCAAAGGCUGAUAGGAACGUCCUCCAAGGGCUGACUUCAAAGCUUGGCCUAAACCACUGCAUCAAAGUCAGCAAGCUGAGCUGUUUGCACAGAAAAGGAGGAGGAGCAGGCCCUUGAGCCACCUGUAGCUCUCCUUAGGGUCUCAGGCUUUCACACCAGGGCAGGCCUUGGGCCAGACUACCCAACUUCCAGGCCGGAUGUGCCACCGGGGAGGAGGAGGUAACUGCCCCUCAAAACCCUGCAGCCCAGGGCUCCAGGAUUCCAACCCAGGGACCUGCAGGCUCCCCUGCUCUCCAGAUCAGACCCCUACUCUCAGAGCCCUAGGCCCAGUGGGUGACAGCCUGUGAGACAGGCCUGUGUGGGGUGGCCCUAGCCCCACCUCAGCUUCCAACCUGACCUUGCUGCAUGACCUCUGGCCCAGCCCUCUCCACCUGGAGUGCCAUCUCUCUUUGUGGGAUGGGCCAGGUGGGCUGUGUGUGGGGGAGGGCAAGUAUAUAGGUGUGGUAUAGGUGGAAACUGCCACAGUAACCAGCAGCAGCUCAGAGCCGGGCCACCCAAUUUGUAUGCCAGCCCCAGCUGGGCCUAGGCACGUGGUGUGUGGAAAUGAACGAAGCAGGCAGCCCUAUGUUUAGGAGGCAGGUCCAGAGCUCACCCAGGCACAGCACAAGAUGAGUGCCUGGCCUCAGUGAGCGAGCACUGGCUGCUAUGAGGCUGUGGUGUGGAACCUUGACACUAGGGCCACUGGCCUGGCUGUGUGACCUCUACCUCAUCACCCAGAGCAGGGCAACCAGAGGCAGAGCCUCAGUGUGGUGUUCUCCUGUGAAAUAGUGAUGGCACAGGCAGGGGCUGGGGCCCAGUGCCUACACAGAGGAUCAGCAAAGGAUGGCAGUUAUUGAAACCUCUACGGGGAAGUUCCCCAGACACGAGAGGAAGACCCCCAUGGAAGCUGUGUGUGUGACGUGCUUAGAUUUUCCAGAGUCUUCAUUUUCCUUGUCUAAACAGAGGUCAUGGCGCCUCCCUCUCAGAUCAAACAGCCCUGUAUGAGUGGCUACAACCUUUGGUGGGCUCAGUGCAGCCCCUCCUGCCCCCUUGCUUGGGAGCUGUCUGCAGAGGCCUAGGGAGCUGCGUGGGGUCUCUCCACCUCAGCCUGUAUCCCCACCCCCACCAGGUCCCCUGCCUGACUCCAGCAUACCCAGGCCCUAGAAGCACCAACUCCAUGGCUGCAGCUGAGUGGAGUGUGUGCCUGCCCAAGCCUAGAGGGGUGCUGACCCCUCCCUCGCACGAGGAGACAUCAAAGGGAAGCAGGAAGCAGCGGCCUGGCUGACCCACAGCGGGUGGGAGAAGUGCAGCCUCACAACUGCUGGGGAUUUUCCAUCCCACCAGGAUUUCCGCGGGACACCCCAAGUCCAGCCUUUGAGGCUCCUCAGGAACCAGAGUUUGGCCUGGAGCCAGUUGGGGCAGAGGAGGGGGGCCAGGCUGGGUGGCUUAGGGGUGUGGUUAGGCCUGCUAAGGGGCUCCUCUUCUCAGUCUCCCCAUGAUUUGCUGGUUACUGGCUUGAAAUCUGGGCCCAGACCCAUUCCAACACUGAACCCUGAGCUCCCUGAGACCUGGCUGGCAAGGACAGGUCCCAAUUUUUACAGGGGCCUGAGAGGAAUGGAGAAGGGAUCUCUGCCCCUUCCUUUCUCAGUCACACCUCCUUGACAGGGGGUCAUCAGAGUGGGCUGUGGUAGGUGCACCAGGGAAGGGACCAUACAGAGGAGGCUGGUCUCAAGUCCUAGGGUGCCUGGGAUGGCCCUAUUGAAAUGCUGCAGCAGCUCUUGUGCAGGCAGGGAUCUGUAUGGACAGCUGGGUGGACACAGGUGCCUACUGACCUCCCAGAUCCUUCAGCAGAGCUCAGCCCUGAGUGACAGCCCAAGGCAGACCUGGCUACCUCAGCCUCUGGCUCACAGCCCUCAGCCAGAGCCCUGAGAGGCCUGGGAUCUCAAAGCUGCAAGGUGGGAGGCCAGAGGAGAGAAGCCCGGAGCUGGUAGUGAUGCUGGCUGAGUGAAAAUUGCACAUUUCCCAACAGUGUGAUGCUCCCUAUCCAGCCUGGGCUUUUGGCAGACUUCUGUGCUUUGUGGAGGAAGCUGGCUCAGAUUCCUCCCCUCCCUGUGCAGUUUGUGUGUCAAGGUGUACUUGUCACACCCAACUCAGGAUAUCUUGCAUCACUUUGUGGGUCCUUGUCCCCCAGAGCUGGGACUGCUGAGUUUUAGCCCUAAGCUCUUGCUCCCAUCUUAGCAAGUCAGGGCCCAGUGUUGUCCUUGCCUCUGCAUCAGGAUGGUAAGCUGGGCAUGCUCCGCAUCACGGAGACCUGCAUGGACCUGGAUUGGGUUGCCUCUAUCUUCAGGCUGGUCACUGGGCAGACACAAACCAGGGCCUCUGGCCAGAGGGGACAGUGGCUCUGAGUUACUUGUGCUGCUCUUUAGGGGUGAGCAGGGGCUGCUUGUGCAUCAUAGUGUAUCACAGGGGAUGCACAUUUACAAUUGAAAGCUACUGGUCCUGGGUAGAAGUGGGGCCGAGUAGGACUUCCCAGCCUUGAACAUGGGUUUGUCAUCCAACUGGGACCCACACUUGAUCCAGCGGCCAUGCUCUGUGCAGCCUGGGCCUGAGGGCAGCCACGCUCAUGUGAAAAGUGCUAGUAGCCAAGCUGCCAUUCUAGUCACCACAGCUGUCCUUGCAGGAGCACAUUGCCCAGGGCUGGGAGCUGUCAUUUCCGUGACGGGAGUGAGACUCAACACUGGGUGAGGGUGGGGGUAUCUGUUGGGAAUUAUUUCAAAACAAUUGUGGAAACUUGGCAGUGGAGGGGCUCUGGGCAUAGGUAUCCACAAUAUCCUAGUCAGGGGUUGGGGUACCCUGGCUCUGCUGAUAAGCCCAAGUGAGCAUACUCCUCCCCCAGCUUGGAACAGGUGGGACGGGCCAGGUGACACUAGUGUGGUCUGUGGUCUGGCCUCCCAAGCCAGUGGCAGUACUGGGGUGGCAGACAUUUGCUGUGUGCUAUCCCAAGGCCUAAAGGUCACACAGCUAGGUUGGAGCAGGGUUUUGGGCAGGAUGAGUAGGCAUUGCUGUGCUCUCAGAAAGGCGAAGCAAACCCCAGAAGCAAGGGGGCGAGACAGGGCAAAGGCCUACACUUUGCCAUCAACUCAGGCCUACUCAAUGCUGGCCCUGUCCUUCCCCUGCCCCUGCCCCAUCAGAUGGUGCGAGCUGGCGGGGCUUAGAGUGAGCCCCCCUGACUCUUCUUGGUGUGGAGUCUGAGGCCCAGAGUGUACAGGCCUCAUCCGUGUGACCCAGCAGGAGGAUGGGAGAGUGGGCCCAGAACUUGGUCAGGCUCAUCCGUGGAGAACAAGUUCUUCCCUAGUCUAGUUGUGGUCUGAGUCCUGGGUGAAGCAGGAGGCAGCCUGGGAAACAGCCUCGUUCUAGUAGGAAUCGCAUUCUCAGGAACGCUGACUGUGCAGGGCCCUUUCUCACUGCCACCUGGGAGGAUGCCUGCCUGCUGGCCAUUUCGGCGGACUGUCAGAGCACCCUCCCUGGGGUCCCAGACCGAAGGCCUGAAGUCCACAUGGGACCCCUGAACUUCUGGUACCUGUGUGGGCUUGUCCCCUCAACCCUGAGUGGAAUGGCAACAGCCAGCUGCAACCCUCCUAGCUUCCUGUCAUGUGCUGUAUGGAAGGGCCAAGAGCUGUAGUCAUCUGCAGAUCCUCCCACUGCACCUGUAGGACUAGCGUCUCCUGUCUGGAUGUGAGCAACUUGCUGGUGGCCUGUGAGAUGGGAGUUGCACUGGGCUUCUGGAUAAGGGCUUCUCGUUCAGGUGACAAUUCUAUGUGAAGGAGACCCAUGGAAACACAUCUAUCCCCUGCCCAUGUACCAGGCAGAGAUGGUACCUGCCCAUGUACCCUCCAUGACAUGGCUGGGUCCCUGAAACAUCAGACAGAUCGAUACUCUGUGUGCAUGUUUGUGGGCAAGACACAGUGGCACGUGUGCCCUGGAGUUUGGUAAUGGGAGGACUGAAGUAGUGCCUCCGUGUGUGAGCUGUGCCAGCCAUCCCCACGAAGGGGGCAUUCCAUGCAGAUGGGGAUCCUCUCCAGGCAGCUUCUUCCACACCUGAUUAGCUCUGACCAUCAGACCCCCCGUGCCAAAAGGGCCCCUUCCCUGGAAUCUGUAAUUCUCACAGGCUGUCCCAUACAUUUUAAAUCCAGGAAAUGUGCUCACCCAUGAGACAGGGAUGGCAAGAAGAUAUGAAUGAAAAGCAACCAGUCCGUAAAAUUGGAAGCCAUUUCACUCCUUACCAGGUACAAAGAUAACAUGCUGCAUGGAUCAGGGACACAAACUUACCUACCUUAUGAUGUAGUGAAAGAAUCUAAAACUUUUGUCUCAGCAGACUCCCUGGAGGAAGCCAAUAACAGGAGGCCUUGACUAGGAGACCUCAAGCCUUGGAAUGUGCCCAGACCAGUGGGGAGGGAAGGCUGGGAGGCAGUCCUCCCUUACCCCUUUUCUCCCAGGCAGACCUACCCUGGGUUCUCUCCAGGCCCCUCCGCCUGAGCAAGUGCUCAGUUGGCCACUAGCUCCCUGCACAUCCAACAAGCCUUUCUUUCCUGUUCCUUCUUCAAGGAAGGCUUAGCCUCAAAUCCAGGGCCACAGACAAAGGACAGUCACUCUCCUCUGCCAGAAAGUCAUUUAUGGGACAUGGAGAAAGCAUCAAAUAUAUUGCUUUUCCAACACCUAACAGUGGAAUAGGAGGAAUAGAAGGAGAACUCAGCCAGAAAGUUCUGGAGCAUAGUCUUUUUGCCAAAAGAACACGUUUUCAAAUGAAAGAGGUGGUGCUGGGGCACUGAGGAAUCAGGGGGAUGGACCCCACUGGAGCUUGUCUCAUGCUGGCAGCAAGUCCCAGGCCUCAAACACAUACCUGGGCCACCUCAGGAGAGAGACUGCAGGGAAGAAAUGAGUUGCAAUGCUCCAGCCUAACCAACUCCCCUUUUGUUAAUCCAAUCCCAGAAGGUACUGGGUAGGGUCAGUUAACAGACAGCUGCCUGUCUCCUGGCAGAGUCUGACCAAGCCCCAGUGGGCGCUUCUCUUCCUAAGUCCUCUGGUGUACCCCAUUCUUCAAGGGAAACGGUCCCCUUAAGAAUCUAUGUGAAAGGGUUCUGAAAUUGCUGUACCAGUUAAUGAAUUAUUUACUCUAAACAAUGUCUUGAUAAAGGGGGAGGAUGAAGUUAGCUGAUGUUGACUAAGGAGAGACGGAGUUGCCAAGGAAAUUCUUCUAAAUGAAAAAAAAAAAAAAGUAAAAGCAGUCAGCUGGUUUUGUCUGACUAUGAAACGUGUCACAGAGCAUGCACCUUUGGCCAUCUUUUGCAUUUAUGAUUUGGAAGAGAGAUGUAGCAGUGAGUGUGGGGCCAGGGAGGGGAAUCCAACAAAGCCAUUCUGCAAGCUAGUGGCUGGGAUUUUGGGGUAUAGAGUAAGAGCAGCCAGCCUUAGAGGCCCAUGUCAUCUGGGCUGCCUCAGAGCUAAAGCUAGGUAACCAGAGGGAGUAAGGAAAGGCCUGAGUCCCAGGCUAGGCUUUUCACAGUUGUAUUGAGAUGGGAAAGUAAGGGAUGUUCCUUGCAGCAGAUGCAGGGCCCAGUUGUCUAGAGCAGUAUUUGAAAUGAGUUGGCAUUUCAGGGCAGUGUUUGUGAUGCCAGUCAGUAGGUAGGGGCUUCUACCUCUUUUUUAGAAAUGUUUACUCUGAACUAAGCUCUAUGCUUUAACAAGUUAUGUUUUAAUAGGAAAACUGUCAUUGAUGGAAUCAUAUGUAAUUCCUACAUUUUUCCAGUUACCCAUUCCUGGGGAAAGCUUAGCCAUUGGACAAACCACCCAGAGCCCCAGGAACCUGCAUUUGCAGACAGCAGUGGCAGGCACAGUGGCCUAGUGUUGAGCGGGGGAAACCUGGCCUCUAUGUGUCUGGUUUUGCAAACUAAAACGCCAUUGCCCAUACUCAGGCUGACAGGUUCUGGAGGUGCCAUGGACUCCUGCUCUGUAUCUCACCUCUAGUUCCAUCACAAUGCAUGAGCUGUCAGUGGGAGCCUUUUAAUGCAGAUGCUAAUACCCAUUCCUAAUGCUAGCCCAUCCCCACACCCUCCUGAGUUGGUGCGAUAUAUCCUGGGAACAAGAAAAUCUGAAGGCUCCUGGUCCUCAGGCUAGCAAGAGCCUUGCCUGUAAGAAGUGGGAGAAGGUCACCUCUCUCAGGAGGCAGAACUAAGGCUGCACAGCACAAGGGAGAUGUCUGAAUGCACAGUCUGGGUGGCAGAAGGACUCCUGUCCUUUCUUCCACACAGACCUGAGCACCUCUCCAGGUGCCACCAUUUUCUGUCUGGGAACAUCUGCUAUCCCCAAGCCUCAGUUUCCUGGUCUACAAAACUGAGAUGGUCUCUUCUAUACAAGGCCCCAGGAGGAUCACUGCAAGUCACUGCAUUUCAUGGUGCCCAGAUUUCCCUGCAUUUCUAGAAUGUCAACAGAGAUGAGUGGGCUCAAGGGGAAGAGAUUCUUUAUGACUAGAGAUAUUCUGGUCAACUUUGGACCCCAGCUUCUAUGGACAAUAGCAUGUGGACAUGAGCCCUGGGGAAGCAGGGAUGACUGAGCCUGAAGAAGAGCUCUCAAGCCUUACACUCUCCAGACCAGCCUUGGGUUGCCUGAACCCCAGCAUAGCCUUAUGGAACCCCUGCCAGGGUCCUAGCACCUGGUUUGACCUGGGCACAAGUACUCACUCACUCACUCACUCACUCACUCACUCGUCAAACAUUCACUGAGGGUCCGUGACAGGCUCCAUAUGGAUUAAGCACUGAAGAUAAAACACUGAAUAGAAACAGCCAGCCUAUACCCUCAUGCUCCUUGAAUGUGAUAGAAGGAGCCAGCCAGUAAACCCUUUACCACAAAUAAACACACAGUUACACAUUAAGAAUGGGAGGGGAGGUAUGUGAUUUUUUACAGCCCAGUCUUAAGCUUUAGAAAUUGGCUCCUCUGAGGAAGGGACAUUUCAGCUAAGAACCACAGGAUAAGACAGUCCUGGCCUGGGGAAGGGGAGAGAAGGUCAGGAGAGAGCUUGAUAUGUUUAAUACUGAAAGAAUAUUUGAUGAGCUGGGACAUCUCCUGCAGAUCCACGGCUCCCUAGCUUUGUGACCCUGGGCCCUAGACUCAAUCCCUCAACCCUUAGGAGAUUAUCUAUAAAACAGGAGUGAUAAUAUUCUUGUGUUAAAAGCUGCUGUGAGGAUUAGUGAAAUGAUGUCUAUAUUUGCCUGGCAAACAGGAAGUGUAAGUAGUAGUAUCAUUUGAAGAUUAUUCUUCAGCCUAAACGUGUGUUCAUUAUGGCCGGUGUGUUUUCUCCCCACCUAGAUGGUAGUGCUGGGCCUCCUUUGGAGUACCUUGAUGUUUGGGGAGCAUGGAUGAUAUGACCAUAACCUGAGAAGGCAGGGACUGUACCCAUUCUGGUCCUCCCAGGUCCCAGGGCCCCCACAGUGCCCUGGUGUGUGAUCAGUGCCCACAAUACUGAAUAGAGGAACAGACACAUGGGAAGCAACGGCAGCCUGGUCUUUAAGGGUGAGGGAGCACCUUCUCCUGAGAGAGGGAGAGAUAGGUUGGGGGAGGUUGGGUGGGGGUGGGGAGAGCGAGUGAGCAAGCAAGCUAGAAACUUCCUGAAAAGGGAAGUUACUCUAGAAAAGGGUAAGUUCCUUCCAGGCAUCAUGGGCUGGCUUAACCUGGACCAGUUUGACUUUACUAAGUCCCAUUUCUCAUCUAGGGAGCCUGAGGCCAUUAAGGUUAUCUGGUCCCAAAAUCCCCUAGAGCUGUCACAGGGAUCCCCAUUCUUUGCCUUUAGUCACCCCAGCCCCAAGAGCCAUCCUCCACAUGGAGUGAGCAGGGAGCUACAAGGAAAAGACGGUCACAGUUGGAGAGAGACAGAGAACCAGGUGGGCUGGUAGGACAGGAAGGUAUAGGGAGAAAGUGAAGCUCUCUCCUGGGGAGGCAGGAAUACUCUCCUGCUUCCUUCUACCCACUCUUCAUAGAACACAAACACUGCAAAAAUGACUUUUUCCAAACCCUCUUAGCAUUCAGAAGUAGAAUUGCUAUGUAAGAAUUUUUUCAUAGGUGCUUUUUUGGGGGGCAUCUAUUUAAAAAAUAACCACAUCAUUAGUGAAAUCUUCCAAAGUCUCUUUUUGGAGCCCACAUUUCACUAAUGUCCACAUCUGAGGAGGCUUUCAUAAUAAAAGAACACAUACCUAUUUCACCUAUGAUGGUCAGUGCAAUCUUGAAAACACUAGUAAAUAGUGUCCAUCAGCUUUAAAAAUACAAACCCAAAUUGGGUCAUACCAAAAUGCAAGGAUACACACAAUAACCUGGGUGAAUCUUCAGGGAAUUGUGCUGAGUGAAAAGAGCCGAUCCCAAAAAGGUGAUUUGCUAUGUGGUUCCAUUUAUAUAAUUUUCUUGGAAUGAUAAAGAAAUGAAGAAUAGGUUAGUAGUUGUCAGGGGCUAAGGACAGGGUAGGGUGGGAGGGAAUUGGGGGUAGCUAUAAAAGGGGGACAUGAGGGAUUCUUGAAGAGUUAGAAAUGUCCUGUAGUGAGACUAUCAAUGCAAUAUCCUGGUCAGAAUAUUGUACUACAGUUUUGCAAGAUGUUACUAUCGGGGGAGACUAGGUAAAGGAGUAUGUAAGAUUUCUCUGUGUUGUUUCUUAGAACUGCAUGAGAAAUGUACAAUUAUCUCAAAAUAAAAAUUUAUUUUAAAAAAUGCCCAAAUUAAAAAAAAAUCAGUAGUCCUCCUAAAAAUACCCAGAAAUGAAUUUUAGAAUGUCCAAAAUCCAUACAAAGAUCUAAAAAAAUAUGGAAGGAUGUUGCAAUGGAUUUGAACAUGUGGGUAAACUGCUUCUAUUUGUGGCUGGAAAGACUUUUUUUUUGAGGUGGGGAAGGCAAUUCUUCAUCAGUUAAUCUAAAUUGAAUGAAGUUUCAAUAACAAAUGCCAAUGGGAUAUGAAUAUACACACAGAUAGACAACUUUUUUUUUUUUUUUUUUUUUAAUUAGGCAAGCUGAGGCCAGGUGCAUUGGCUCACGCCCGUAAUCCCAGCACUUUAGGAGGCUGAGGCGGGCAGAUCACUUGAGGUCAGGAGUUUGAGACCAGCCUGGCCAACAUGGUGAAACCCUGUCUCUAAUAAAAAAAAAAAUUAGCCAGUCAUGGUGGCAGAUGUCUGUAGUCCCAGCUACUAGGGAGGCUAAGGCAGGAGAAUUGCUUGAACCCAGGAGGUAGAGGUUGCAGUAAGCCGAGACUGUGCCACUGCAUUCCCGCCUAGGUGACAAAGUGAGACUCUGCCUCAAAAAAAAUAAAAAUAAAAAAAAAAUUAGGCGUGCUAGUUCUAAGUUUAUAUGAAAAAAAUGCAUGUCCUAUAAAAUUCAGAAGUAGCAGCAGUCUGGCCCCUUGUGCUCCUCUAGCCCUCAACUGGCCUAACAGGCCCUAGUGUGCAGCAGGGACUAUUUUCCCAUCAUCACUGUCCACAGCAUCUGGACAAGAAUACAGAGAACGGCUGAUUUAAAAAAAAUCUAAUCUGGGAUCCUAUGCAUCCUAAAUAAUCUUAUGAGGAUGCACUUGUAUUUUUUCUGAUGCUGAUACUAUUCAUUCCAACUCGCCUCCCCAUCAGCUUUGUCAGGCACUGUGAAUUGCAUGGUACACAUGAUUACAAUGGAUGGAAUGGCCAUCAUGAGGUAUAGCAAUACAUUUAAGUAACACUGUGUCACUACUAUAGGACAGGCACUUUUCUGCAUACUUUAUAUUAUUAAUUUGUGUAAUCCUCCUAACAACCCUCUGAGGAAGGUACUCUUAUGAUUCCCAUUUUACAAAUAAAGAAACUGAGACUAAGUGACUCACUCAAGGUGUAGCAGGUAGAAAGUAGUGGAAUUAGGAUAUGAGUUCAGACUCCAGACCCUGUUAUUAGCCCCUGUCUUUGGCUAUGGAUUAGUAAAGGAGAGCACAGCCAAGGGUGGGACAGGCAGCUGUAGUCCUCUGGACCAGCUUCACAUGGAUGGGGCUGCAUUGUUACAGGUGGCCUAACUCAGACAUGGAAACUGAGUCGCUGCUGCCCAACUCAUGCCAUGAAACCAUUUUGGCCUGCACAGCUUAUAACAGCACUCUAGCUCUAGCUAUGACACUUUAUGGUGUUAGUGGGUUUUUUUGGUGGUUGGUAUGGAGGAGGGGCUGGGCUACAAGUUUUAGAUUAUGUUUCUUAUUGCGGGUUUUUAAAAAUUCUUGAAUUAGGCCUAUUUGCUCUUUUGUUCUCUAUUGAGUUAGCAAAUUCAGUUUUUCCAAGAUGCCCUGAAAGUAUGAUCAUACAUGUAUACGAAAUGGUCCUUGGGUCCAGCUGGCAACUCCUGUGCACCCCCGACCUGGAUUCUGCCUUCCUUGAAGUGAGCCUUGGAAGAAACAAGUGCUCAUGCUCCCUGACAUUAUUAGCUGCCACGAUGAAGCCUCAGUCCCAAACACCCCAGCUUCCUGUCUAACUCAAGAGCUAAUCCUGUGUUUAAAUCUUAAGAGUGUUUAGAUCUUAGGCCAUGCCAUGAAUUCCCCUGGUUGACUGCAUUUGUGAAAAUGAGCUUCCCAUUAUUGGCUCUUAAGUAAUGGAGAUGAGGGGGAGUCCUGCUACACAGAUAAGUGCAUCAUAAAGUUACAUAAUUAAAAUAACUGAGCUCUGGCCUAUCAACAGGCCCAUCAGCAGUCCAGAAUAGAGUCUAGAAAUGGACACAAAUUAAAUGAGAGUUUGAAAUAUGAUAAAGGUAGCAGUUGAAAUUAGUAGAGAGAUGAUGAUGUACUCAAAUAAAUAGUGUUGGACAACUGGACAAAUAUAUGGGAAACCAAAUUGGAUUUAAUUACUCUGUCAAAAUCCCGAUAAAGCAAGGAUUUAAAUGUAAAAAAUGAAAUAAAAAAUGAUAGAAGAAAACAUGGAAGAAUUUAUUAAAACAAUUUCAGGAUGAGAGGUUAUUUCAGAAUUUAAGAUAAGGACCUCAAACCAUAAAAGACUGACACAGCUGACUAUGUGAAAUUAAAAAAAUUCUGCCACCAGAAAAAUAUUAUAGAAAAAGCCAAAACACCUAAGGAAAAUGAGGAUAAAAUAUUUUCAAUGAAUAUGACAAAGCAAGUUUCUACAAAUCAGUAAGACAAGGUAUUUUACAAAGUCCAAAGGGUAUGAAGAAAUAGUUCACAAGAAAGAAAAACAAAUGAUUUUAAGCAUUUGGAAAGAUAAAAACCUCAUUUCCAACAAAAGAAAUGUAAAUUAAAGCUCCAGUGUACCAUUUCUCAUCUAUGAAAUGAAUGAAGAUAAAAACCUGAGUAUACACUUGGUAAGGGUGGGGGAAGAAAGUGCAUUUGUGCAGUCAAAGUGAUGUAAAUGGUACAGCCCUUAUUUGGCAGUAUCUAUCACAACAUAAAUGAACAUUUUAAUCCUGCUGGAAAUGGGGGGAAAGGGAGGAUCUCUUAAAGUAAAUCCACUGAAAACGGAGACCAAAAUUUUACAAUAGAGAUAUUUGAUUGGGAAGUUAAUUUGAAAAAUAACAGUAGUUAAAAUAUUAUUUUAUCUCAUAUGCAAUAACAGUUGUUAGAGUUACAAUUAUGUACACGUUUUAGAAAAAAACAAAUCCAGAGGGGAUUUUGGUUUGUCUUUUGUAAAGCAUUAUAUGGUAACAUCUGAGGGCAUCUUUUAUACUUGGCAGAGGAUGUUGGCAGCACUUCCACAGAGAGGAUCAUUUUUUGUAGAAGUAUGGCAUGGUUUCACUGCUUGACCAAGAGGCCACCUGCAUCAAUUAUCAUCUCCCCUGCUGUCCUCUGAAAUGCUUAUCUAGGCAUCGAUCUUGGUUUCCUCUUCAACUGAUUAACUAACUGGUCUACUCUGCCCAGUCUCUAUUUGAGAAAUCAUUUGACAUCAUUUUCUUUAACUUGAUGAAAUCUCCUAUUUUGACAAGAUUUACAGUUCCUCUUUAUAAGUUCCUCUUUACUUUGUGUGUGCUUUAUAUUGUCUUUGGUUGACAAGAGACAGCCAAAGAGGUCAGUCAGCAGAGAUACAAGUAGGGAUAAGAUGGAUAGGGAGAAACAACAGUGUUCAAUAGGGAGGGAUGUUUCAGGGAAACUAAUUUCAUAAGUGGUCAUUUCAGUAGUGAAUAUAUUUGAAUGGUUAAUGGCUGCUGUUUUUUAGCUGCCCUACAUAUCCAUCAACAGAGGAUCUGUUCCAUAAAUCAUGGCACAAUGAAACUCUGCAGCUGUUAAUGAAAAGGAGAUUUGCUAGAUGUCUUAAUACAGAUCCAUCUCCAGAACAUACCAGUGUCUUCCUUUUAAGUGGUGCACACUGGGGCUGAACACUUACUAAGAAAUGAAAGGGCUCCCCAGUCAAAGCUGACAGGUGUCAUUACAACAUGACCCCUGUGGUAGAUCCCAGCACAAUACACUGGCCAUCACUCCAUUCUCUUCAAAUGUCCUAGGGUUGCUUCAUACAGCAGACCAUCGUACCCAAAGCCACUAUGCAUAUGACUUGGUUAUCUCCUGCCAGGCUGUAGUCCAGUUAGUGCUCCCUUGGAAAUACUCAAGACCUUAAUGAACUAUCUAUCUGUGAAUCUGUGAAGCUACCCAUUUCUUAGAGGCCUCUUUGGAGAGCUGGCUGUUGAAUACCCAGUAUGAUGGUCCUUAGCCUUCUUAGACCUUUCCUGUACCACUACCUCUAUGCCUUUUGCCAAGUCCAAGUGUUCACCAGAAAUGGAACUGAUGCCAGAAAGACUACAGCUAACAAUCUGAGCAGAACAGUGAGCAUGUCCUAUCUGGGAAAAGCCCAGCCCAUUGGGCUAAAUCUCUAGCUGAACACAGAGACUAUGCUCCUUCCAAUUAUACUGGAAGCCCAACCAUGAGAAAACAGCACUUCAACUACACUGUUCAGAGCCAUCACCUGUUCACACGUGUGUCUGUAUACAUGUAAACACACAUUUUGCAAUAAAAAUGCUUCUCAGAUGUACUGCACCAUAAUAAAUCAGCAUUGUAUGUACAGCUCAAAAAGAAGUAUGGCAUACCUAUGGAAGAAGUCAAAGGCAAAGUGUAGAAAAAUACAUACAGUAUGCUACCAUUUGUAUAAAAAGGAGCCGUAUCUACUAAGUACAUGCACACACAGACACACGUAUAUUUGUUUAUAUAAAAUACGUCUGGAAAGAUGCAAUAGGAAAGUGUUGAGUGGUAACCUUUAGGGAAGGAAACUUGGGAAUUAGGGUUGGGUGGGGAGAGUGUUAUUUUUCACCCCUUUUGUACUCUGAAUUGGUUUUACCAUGUGUGUAAAGACUGUUGUAUGAUUUUUGUAGCACAACCCUUGAAUACAUAAAGCACGAUUGGCUCCCCAGAAGGCAGGUGUUGGCCAGGCAGUGGAUGCACGGUAGGGCAGUGUGCAGCCCUGCAUGCACGUGGCUGGUAUGCCCUGCGGGCAGCAGCUCCCCGCACACAGUGCUGUGAGUCUCUGGUUCAUGUCACUCUGUGGAGCAGGGGCUGCUCCAGCACAAAGAGGUUUUUGACAGGGAAAGGCAGAGCCAGAGUCAGGGCAGGCCCUGGGCGGGCUCCUAGAGAGCCCAACCACCCUCUAAUAAGGGGUGCUCUCCACCCUAUCUGAGGAGCAAUUGGGAUCUCCUAGGAAGUGAAACUGUUACGUAUGUCUUAUUACAGAAUUUCCAGUGGAGUGAUUCUGGAAGAAAUGUGUAUGGCAUGUUGUGACUGCUAUGUCUCAUGAAAUAUUUACGUUUUUAUGUAACUUUUUUCCAUUUUCAGAUCAUCUUUUAUUUUAACGCAAAAUGACAAUAUAUUUUUCAAUUAAUUUGCCCAAUAUCUGUGUUUAAAUGUUUUCUAAUGCACACACGUGUUUUAAACUCAUUAAAAAAAUAUGACUUAGAUCCCAUCCCACUUUCAUGUUUUAUAUUGCCAAAACUCUGCUUUUGGGAGAGGUGAGUUAUCUUCACUUCUGAAACAGUACUGCUUGGGAGCUGGUUUGGCCCUGGCUAUUCUGGGGAAAUGACACAAUAUUGACCUAGAGGGGCCCUAAUCUUUCCCCGCUAGAGCACUACCUCUAAUAGGGUGAAGGAUGGGAGAAAGAGGCUAGUGAACCCACCUUCAGGUCUGUCCACUCAGGACAUGCCCACACUAGCCUCUCCAGGGGCUCUGCCCUUGGCAUCCCCGUCCCCCACCUGGGCUCUGGCAGAGAAGUCAGGCGGGAAGAAGCCGGCUGAGUGCCCGCCACUGUAAGAGGAAACGAAGAGAAACAGCUCCAGUCAGCCCCAGAAGCGAGGCCUGGAAAAACUCUGCAGCUGGAGCUAACACAAAGGACUUUUCAGACCCUGCAGCCAAGGUGCCCAGUGAGCUUUUUUUUUUUUUUUUUUUUUUUUUUUUAAAAAACAGCUAUUAGGGUGACAAGCCUUUCCAAAGGCCAGCAGUUGGCGAGAGUUUCCAGGAAGCUGGUCUGGCACUGGGCUGGGAUUGGAGCAACUUUAACGAGUUAAGUUCAGAAGGAAGGAGUCAUCAGGAAAGGUUUAAGGUUCAACAAACUUUUCAAAUUAUUUUGCAAAAAGUUCUGGCUUUCCAAUUCAAAGGCAUGUUUCGCUGUGACUGUUUUAAGCCAGAGCCUAUUUAAAAGGCAACACAACUAGCAUGCUUCAGAUUCACUCACUCGAGGUAUUUGUCUAAAUCCUCCGAAUGGGCUUUGCAAGUGCCAUCUAGUGCCUAGUAACACUGGGGCCAUCUUACACAUCUCGACAGGCAGCCCUCCUCCCCACGUGCCUCCCCCCAGCCUCUGUGGUCGUGUGCGCGCGGGCGCGCACACACACACGCACGCAUGCACCUUCCCUAAGCAGGAAGCUGCUCUUUGCCAAGAGCGAAUGGAAUUCAGAUUUCCAGAGGGUGUCCUUGGCCUCCAGCUCUACGGCUGCAUGAUGAAGAAAGGUCCUAGUGUGUGUGCCGGGGGCUGGGAGAGAGGGGCCUCCAGCUCUGCUCACAUCUAUCUGGGCCCCAAGAAAAACCCACAACUGGCUGUGCUCUCCCCAGCCACACCCAGCCUUGGUCACAUUCCUUCCCUUCCUGAGCCCACACUGGGUGGCCCCGGCAAACCAGCUUCCACACCUCCCUCCCCACCGGCAGGGAGACCUAGCCCAAGCCCCCAUGGGGCAGCCAGCAAGUACAAAUGAGGGGCUGCACCCCAGGCCCAAAGAGCCAGAAAGCACGGAGGGCCCUCCCCCCACCCCACCCCCAAUGCUGGGCAUCCCCUUGUGGCUGCUGUCACUCAUGGGGAAAGAGACACACUCCCUUGUCUAGCACCCGGUGAGCUGAGCUCCCAUCCCUUCCUGUGCCUGCUUUCAGGAAGUCCCUCUUCAUAUCCAACCUUGACUCUCCUGGCUGUGGUGCUUGUGGGCCUGGGAUUGAAGGGCCAUCACUGCCCUUUGCACCAGAGCUUCCCAACAUACCAGCAAGAAGGGACUGUACCCCUUCCCCUGUCCAGUCUGGGCCUUCCAAGCCCUGAGAUUCAGCAACCUCAGGAAUUAAACAUUUAUAGGAAAACACCUAUGCAGACAAGGGACAUGAGUCAGGGUGGUCAUCAGCAGUAGCAAGGUGGGUAGGCUGGUCACGUUUAGCUUCUCUUUAGCCCAAGUAAUAGGGUCUUCCACCUGCAUGGCCAGGGAGGGGAUAGGCUGAGAGCAAUCUUUCUACAGGCUGUCAGCAUCAACAAGUGGUUGUGAUGAGCAGGAGUCUGUAUGGCUUUUCAGGUGUUCCGGCUCAAGGAGGCCCAACACCAAGUUGGAACCUCCAGGCCUGGUGCCUAGGCAGAAGGUGGGCUAAACAAAGGCCAAGGGGAGCUCUGCUCUGUCACUUCCCUUUGUUUGCUAAUGAGACUGUUUCCAAAAGCUGGCCUGGUAGCCUGUGGGAUUGUUUCUCUCAAGAUUUCUUCUAGGGGAGAAGGUGGCUGAGGCUUUGCAGUCUGCAUCACCCAGUCCCCAGAAUCUACAGGGGACUCAGCUUGCCUAGUCACAGUUCGGCUUUUGGCCUUGGCUCCAGGGCCCAUUCUGAUCCUCGUGCUUGGGUCAGGGAUGGUCAGCACCCCUGCCCUGAUGCUGCCUGCUGGGGUCUCCUGCUGAGUACCGUGAAGGCCUACUGUGGCCUGAGAAGCCAACUUCACUGUCCCUUUUGGCCAGCCCUAGACCCUAUAUUUGUUCAAGUAACACAUUGAUUCACUGGCUUCUCCUUUAGGCAAGGCCUGCAGGGGACUCAGCUGGGGUUCAUGAUUCCUUGCCACCUGUGGUGGGCCUGCAUGGCCAGCCCAAGGCCUCAAGUGCCACAUACUGCUCCCCUGACAGUCAGGUGGCUAGGGUAUGACACUCAAGAAAAUGCCCAGGCAGAACCCAGAGUUGGGGUCACUUGGUCCAGCCCUUCUGAAGGGGACUGGUUGGAUCUGUUGCGGGGAGGAGACAGGCCAUGCUGGACCAGCAAAAAAGCAUAGAACUUGGAGUCUGGAACCUGACAUCUGGCCUUGGCUCUGCCAUCAGCUGGCUGUGUCCACUGGGCAAGGUCCUAUCAUAUCUGGUCUCAGUGCUUCCAUUUACCCAGAGUCCUUCCAUCACCUGACACCUACAGGGAUGCUUUCCCAAUCAAAAUUCAGGCCAUGUGGUUUGAUAAGGCCACCUUCCAAUGUGGAAGACAGGCUGGUAAUGGAGAGGCCUGGGAGCACAGAGCUCCUAGGCACUGCCAUGGAAUGUGGGGACCUUAGGGAAGGAUAUCUCAAUUGAAGCUCUUCAGAGCCCCUGGGGUGGACUGUUCUGUACUCUCAUCCCCUAACCCAUACCAGCCUGAGCUCAAUCAUAUCAGCCUGUGAAGGCUGCCCCACCACACUGCUUCUGCACCCACCACACCAGGCCCCCUUGAGCUCCCACCUGGAGCCCACACACCCAGCUGGUGGGGUUCGUGGGGCAGUUCAAAAAGAAAAGCAGAAAAAAGCAUUUGAGUAUUUUGGACUGGAAGGAAUUCAAUUUAACUUAACAAAUCAGGACAUGAACCUAAAGAAAACACUGAAAAACAAGCCCAACUUUGAAAGGCCCAAAGAGGGAGGAUUAGGUGGGAGAAGAAAGGUCCCCUGUGGGCAGAAGACAGCUGCUCAGUCCAGACCAGGGACCAGGGGAGGAUACUGGGCUUGAGUGCAGACCGGGCCAGGGUAGGGAGACAAGCCCAACAUACACUCGAGGACUUGAAGUCAGGGGUGCUAGCUGACUUUUUAGCCCACUCUUUCUACCCCAGAUACAGAGACUAGCUGCCUGAGGAAGCAUAGCGGGGCCCACAGGCUGGCUGCCUGGUGCUGCCCACCUCCUCUCCAGGGCUUGGCUCCCUGGGGCAGAAGGCUCAGACCUAUAACCACAGUGGGGUUGCAGGGAUUUAUUUGGGGGAAGAACCCUGACUGGGUCAGAAUGAUUAUGUGCAUGCAUGUAUGUGUAUGUAGCUCCUUGUUCUCUGAAAAGCCUUGCCUACCACCCUACUUCCCAAGUACCCUCUAUUGCCUUGCAAAGUCACCCCUGCUCUCUGCCUCAGUUUCCCCAGCAGGGCACCACAGGACACUGCUGUGGCAAGGUUUAUACUUAGGGUGCAGUGCAGUCUGAUCUUGUAUAAAUGCUCAGUGCCAAAGACUUAGGAGAUAAGUCAGGCAGAGUCAAAAUUAACCUUUGAAAAAUCCCUUGAAUUGGCCCUAAAAAUAAUCCCUUUCUCAGAUCUUUGUGUAUAUCCCCUGCUGGGUUGCUCUUCUGCCUGCUAAAGUGGGAGAAUCUCUGGGUGCACAUCCAGAGUACCCUGGGAGAGGCAUGCCAGGUGUUCCUGUACCUUUUUCAGGAUAUUCCCAGUGUCAUCUUCAGAGGGAGCCUCUGAGGCUGCAGCCACACAUGGGAAAAGAUUACUUAUGGAGAAGAUCAGAGGCUAAGGGGCUGGGGAUGGUGGGGACAUCGGAUUUUGAGGUCAGACCUGGACUCCUGUCUACCUCUGUCUCUCUACCUUUUAUUUUUCUUUCCUUUUCUCCUAACAAGGCCCUAUUUCUAAGAUGGCACCUCAGGCCUCCCAUGGGACCAACCAGGCCUGACAGACUAACUGCUCAGACUAACUGCCAGACUUCCUCCUGCUAGCCAGUCACUACCAAGGAUGUGUGCCUCAGAUACAGCCCCUGCCCAGGACACCUACGUUGUCCCUAACAGGGCCCACAUAUCUAAAGCAUGAAUGCCUAGCCAGGGGCUCUGGGGCACCAUAAGAAGGCAUGAAGCUGGGCCUGCCAAUUUGCAUCCUGGGAGGGCAGGUCAGCCUUGUCCAGGCAAUCCAGGAGGCUUCCCAGUGGCCCACUGGCCAGUGAGGACCUUUGACCUCCUUGGCUGGUGGCACCAGGUUUAUGAUGCACAUAGAGGCUGAACUUGAAGAAUUCUUAUUGCAGAGGGCAGCCACAAGAGCCACUGGCCAGUGCCCAGAUAAUAUCUGCAGACUGUUCCCUCCUGCUCCAUGGGCCACAGAAUCCCUUUGUCUUGUUACUGCUACACUGCCUUCCUACCAAUCUUCAGGGUUCAUCCUGGCCUCUGCCAUGCAUAUCCAGGCUCCCCCAGAGAUUGUGUGUCUGGGAAUGAGCCCUGGCUUCUGCUCCUAUCUCCCAGUGAUACUGGCAAGUCCCUAUCCUUCUUGAGGCUUCAAUUUCCCCUUCUGUGAGCUGGGAGGACAGGCCCACUAGAUGCUCUCUGAGGGACCUACCAAGGAUGUGGGCUGUGUGUCUCAGCCAACAGCAGUAUCUCCUAACCCCAACACAAGAAAUACACAUAGUAGGUGUCUGGUUAAUGCUCUUGGAAUUUCAGCCUAUACUAACCAUCUGAAAGCCACUGAGUCUGAACUCUGCUACCAUAUUUGAGAUUAUCUCUCCAUUGGGCACCUAUGGGUUGCCUAGAGACAAGCUACCAUGGUCCUCUUCCCUCGCCCGUCAUGUGCAGGGUCAAAGGCAGGUGAGCUACACAGCUCGCCCUGCUCUUCACUCUGCUUUAAUGUGGGUGCUUGCCUUGGCAGAUGGGCCCGACAGUGAUAAGAACAAAUGACAGAUGCAUACUGGGGCACCUGUGACUGCCAUGAGACACAGUCCACUGAUUCUGCCUCCAACCCCCUCCCCAGAGCAGAAUAGUGAGUGCUAGGUUUCCGCCUGUACCUCCACGGGACCCCAACAGCUCCUGAACCCCAUUCCGAGAUUUGAGGUUGUGACUUGGGGACCUCUAGACUUCCCUUCCCUCCACCUGACUCCAGACUGUCCUGGAGCUUGGGACUCUCAGGCCUCUAGGCACAUCUUAUUAAGGACAGCAGCUGACAGCCAUAUGUUGUGACCCCAUUUGUAUCCCAUGGUAACUCAUGACCUGGCAGUCUCAAAAGCUCUCAGGCCAAAUAAGGAAUGUCCCCACAGGAUCUCCCAUCACAAAGAGACAUUCUAUGCUGGCUAAUAUUUUCAGGCAUUUCCCCGAGUCAGGUAUGUGGCUGGAUGCCUAACACCAUCUCCUCAAGGCCUUACACUAAUACUGUGAGAUAUACUCCCAAUGUAUACAAGAGGAAACUGAGGCUGAUAGAGAUUAGGUGACUGCCCCAGUGUCCUGUGGGCAGGAUGAAAUGACCCAAGCUGGCCAGGGCUCCCUGACAGACCUUGUCCCUGGAUUCAGCGAACAUACAUCAAACCAUUAGCUGACAAGGAAUGAAUCUGACAAGCUGUUCAUGACCACCACACUGAAAACUACAGGGCAAGGUAAAAGAUAUGAAAGUCAACCUAAAUAAACAAGGGACACAUGAUGCCAUGUUUCAGGAGCCCCAAAACUAUAAGGAUACCCAUUCUCCCAUGCCCAUCUAGAGGCUGCUGCGCCUAGAGGAGGCUUUCCAUGGCAACUGGCAUAUGUAUGGUGAGGAGAAACCCUGCAAAGACAGCAAAGCCAGUGAUGGGGAAGGAGAAGCAGCCAGAGCCAGCAGGACCAGCUGUCAAAACCUGUUAGCAAACUACAGUGAGAAGGAAGCAAGGUCCUGGCCACAAAGAACAACUUGAAUCUGACCAGUGGCACCCAAUAGGGUCCAGAAACAGAGCCACACGUAGCCAGUGAGCUGAUUGUAAAGACACUGAUACGGCAGGGUAGUUGGGAGAGGACGGGCCUUCCCAUGCCGGGUGCUGAGCUAGACUGGAUAUCCAAGUAGGGGAAGAGUGGACCUUGACCUCGGCCUCACAUUGGACACAAAAAUCAAUCCCAGAUGGAGUGCAGAUCUACAUGGGAAAGGUGAGCUAAUAAAGCUUUAGAAUAAACCAGAAUAUCUUUAUGACCUUGGAGUAGUCAAAGUUUCUUAAAUAGGACACAAACAGCCCUAUCCAGAGAGGAAAUGUUUGAUUAACUGGACCACAUGAAAAUUAAGACCUUCUGUUCAUCAAAAGACACCAUCAAGAGAGGAAGAAGGCAGCCUGCAGAGGGGGAGGCGAUAUUUGCAAUGUGUGUGUCUGUGAGAGAGUGUGAGUGUGUGUAUCUCUCUCUCUGACAAAUGACUCCAGAAUAUCUAAAGAUAUAUAGGACCAUAAAUAAACAUAAAACAGGCAGAAGAUGUAGGCAAUUUAUACAGAAUGAUGUAUCUGACUAAAUGAUAACAUGGAAAGGGACUCAACUUCAUUAGUCAACAGGUUACUGCAAAUUAAAAUCACCAUUUGAUGCUGCUAGACAUUCACCAUCAUGGCUGAAAAGGAAACGACGGAAAAUGCCAAGUGUUAGGAUGUGGAGCAGCCAGAAUGCUGCCUGUGGGAAUGAAAAUUGGAAUGACUCCUUUGGUAGACUGCUGGGUAGUAUUCACUAAGAGUAAACAUAUGCCCACCCAGGACCCUGCAGCUCCACACAUAGGCAUAUAUUCCCCAGAAACGCAACCUGAUGCUCACCAAAAGCAUGUACAGAAUAUUCUUAAACAGCAACCUACACCAGAAACUGCCUGCUGGCCACAGGUGGUAGAAUGGAUGAAUGAUGUAGGCCAUGCACACAAUGGAGCACCAGUCAGCAAGGAGCAUGAGGGAGCACUCUCCCUUCAGCCCCAUAGAGAGGCUGCCAGACAUCAAAUUGAGUGAGGGACAUUGGACACAAAGGUGUAUGAGUUGCAUCAUUCCCACCGCAUAAAGUUCAAAUGUGGGCAAAGCUGGUCCUUGCUGCUAGCAGUUAGGCCUGUGGUUAAUCUCAAGGUCAGUGACAGGAAAUGGGAGCCUGAGAGGCUUUCUGGGGGUUCUGUUGCUUCCUCCGGGUGCUGCACACAUGGGUCCCAGGGACUGAAGAUGCCUCAAGCUGCGCACUUGAGACCUGUGUACUAAUCUGUGUGCAUGCACAUUACCCUUUAACUAAAAGUUUAACACCACCACCCUAUACCAGGGUAGCCCAGGUGAGCCUAAUUAGGUGGAUAGCCCUGGCCUUCAGGGCCGCUAGGCCCAGCCCCAUCCCACUCCCUCACUUAAGGGGACACGGCUUCCAGACUUCCUGACUAGGUCACCUCCGUGCUUCAGCCUCCAGAGGCUCUGCAGUUCAAUCUCCCCUUUCAGGUAUCAGCAGAGCACACAAGAGAUCUAUAUGGGAUGUGCCCCCCGCCCAACCCCGCCCCGACCCCCUGCCCCAACUGCCAGAAGUGUCUCCAUGACAAUAUCAGUGCAGUUGUGAAGUCCUUUGCCCUCCAGCCACCUCUGUGGCGUGAAUGUUCUCUCUGUCACAUCCUCCAACACCAUCUGCUUGGCUGAGGACCUGAGCAGCAUCAUGGCUGGGAGUUCACAAGUGGAGAGGGCUGAGCCUGGCCAGAGUGCACUGGGGCAGGGUGAUUUGGAUGGCCUUUCCCUUGCAGAGGAAAUGAGAAGCCUCACUGCUUUCUUCUGGGCCAUCCACCUAGACAGUGCGGCCCUCUCCCCAUAGCAGCAGCCCUAGGCCAGCCGCUUCUUCCUCACGUGCUCAGACGGAGGAAGUGAAGUUUGGAAAGGUUAGGGGGCCACGGGGGGCCGCCACAGCUGGGCUGAUGGCAGGCUGGAAGCCAGAUUGAGGGCAUCUGAUUCCCAAUCCCAUCUCUUUCCCACUGAGCCAUUACGCCUCGGUUUUAAUUUAAUUAGAAGAACAUUUAAUCCCCCCGUGCAUUUCAGAGACGGGUUUGAGCCUGGCUGGGGCUAUGUGGGGCUCUGACGGGGAUCCUAUGACUCAUGCAGCCCUGUACAGCCCUCCCGGGCGGGCCCCCAGAGGGCUUCCUUGGCAUCUCGUGCAGACAGAGGUGGUCUGGAGCUUUGCAGAAGACAGGACACUGGUCUAGAAAGACAAAAUGGUCUCAUCUGUUCUUGACAAGCCCCUCACUCAUCCUUCUGGACACUGGUUCCCAGAAUGUCCUUUCUGUCCUUUCCCACCAAAGUUUACAGGGAGAGAAAUAUGGUGAGGAGCUUAGACACUCACAGAGCUGCAGUGCCUGGUACCCUGGGGUCUGUGGGAGUAGGUCACAGUGGACCUGGAUGUCUCCAAAAUGUCCCAGGCCAAGCUGGUCCCAUCAAAAGAGCUAGCCCCUUGGUCCAUGAAGCCAAAUUUGGGGCCACCCUUGUGACGUUUGCCCUUAUUUCCAGACAGCACAGACUGGCCCUGUCCUUGCUGACAAAUGCAGAAUUCAGGAGACAUUAGUAGUGAUGUGGAUGAAAGCCAGGCCACAGCGGCCUUGCUGGAAAAGAGCAACUCGAAUGUCUUGGCGUGAGAUUCUGCAGGGUCCAGGAGAAAGUUGAAGACAUGGAAAUUCUAAUUAACGCACACGGGGCUGUUUUUGCUCAAGGAUUUGCGAAGCUGUCAUGUCACAAGAGGCCAGGCAAGCACAUGCUUGCCAGGGAGGUGCUCACAGUCACCUGGUGGGGGUCUCUGCAGCUUUCCCUCUGCCUUCUUUCCACCCCCUCUGCCCAGCCUCGGGGGUCCUGGUCCUCCCCCAUGCCCAUCUCAAUGGGCCGGGUGCUCCCUGAGUGUCCCUCUGGAGAGUGGGACUGAGGGCGGUAUCUGUUAACCUCGAGCUGGGGCUUGCCCAUCUAAGAUGCCAAAACAGAAGAGACAGGGGCCCUUCAGAGAAACCACAUGACUGGGCUGGGCAGAGCCAUAGGCUGCAGGGCUUAUGGGCCUGUCCUCUUGGGCCGUCUAUCUCAGGUAUCCAUGUGCAACCAAUGGGGCAGACGUGUGAAUUCCAGGCCAGUCCUGGCUGGCUUGGCAGUUGGGGAUGCAGUGUGAGGGAGGAUUUCACAAAAAUGAUUUCAGCCUCCCAGGGUUGCUUGGAGAAGCUCACCCAGGCCACACCUGCACACAGCCCCCAAGUUCAGAGCCGCAGAUCCUCAGGCCCCUAGCCCUGUGCCUCAGCACUGGCACAAUGUGUCUGCAGUCCUUGCUUCAUCUUAGGCAGGGUUGAGUGAGCAGCAAUCCUAGGGCUUCUCCAUGCCUGGGGCUUUGGGGGUUCUGGGGAGGAAGAGACCAAGAGGGCUAUACAUGCCCUUCUCCCUCCUGGCACCAUUCGAAAGGCUUAGGGAACUGGUACUGAGGGCUUUGAGAGCCAAAGGAGGACACAGCCGUACAGCCUAAGUGUGUCCUGGGGGGUUUACUGAGCAGACGUUGGAAAGAUGAAUGGAAAUCUGGUGGCUGCAGAUGGGUGACAAGGGCAUUCUAGAUGGCAGGUUACCACACGCAAGGCACAGGGAUGCACACAGGCAUGGCACCGUCCCCACCCACUGUCGUGCCAGUGACCCUUGGUGAGCAGAGGAUAGUGAGUGGGUCAGAAUCCCAGGAACUCAUCCUGGCUCUUGGGGUACAGGGCUCCUCUUGUCAUGGGGGUGCUCCCCAACUGCCCAUGCAGGCCUACAGUCUCUACUUCCCACCUUUCUCUCAGAAGCCCUGUCAUAUGGUUCUGGGUGGGAGACACAGGCUCAGGGAGUUUGAGGCUGGCAGGGACUCUCUUGUGCCCCAUUCAACCUAGGAAGACAGCUUCUGCCUGAAAGGUGUGUUCGAGGCUGAGUCCUGGCCGCCCAGAGCUGGUUGAGGGUCCUGAGGCUGAGCAGUAGGGCCCACCUAUAGGCUGGGGUGCAGCGACGCCACUCUUUAUCUCCUGGGUACCCCGUGCCUCAGCUUGUCAUGACUCCCUAGCUUGCAUCAGGCCUGCUCACCCCCCACCCCACCUCUGGCUAACAGGCCCCGGAAAGAGGAGCUUCGCCCAGCCCCAGGGACCUUCCCGUAAUCAAGGCUAUAGUGACCUCACCUCUCUGGGGCCCUGCGGGCGGGGAGAGCUCGAGAUGGAAACAAAAUGUGUCUUUAUUUAUGUUUUUAAUUUGAAUUCUGGAACUGGCCCAGCAUGGUAAUACAUUUAACAUCAGUAGAAUGCUGAAGAAAAAUGGAAAUGUUUUUUGGUAACUGCCUCCCACCCACUCUGCCCCCUGUGAGACCCCAGCACACAUCCCUGUCCCUCACACACACCAGGGCGUGUGCCUCUCUUCCCAGUUCAGGGUCCAUGGGGCCAGGCUGCCCACAGGAGCUUCGCUGCAUCCCUGAGCAGCUGGAGCCGAAUUUAAUUAUGGGCAUCACUGGGCGGGCUGUGCAGGAGGUGGAGGAAUGCAGCCCCAAUGCGGGCAGAAGACCUGCACGGCCCCCACACCCCUGCCGCCAGGCGGUUUGGGCCCUGAGGAAACAGGGUGCCCACUGCUGCCAGCCUUCUCCCCCAGAUGGAGUGGGGCCUCUACCCAGCCUGUAUCCCAGAGGAGCCUGGGUUCCUAGGCCCUGACACUGUACGUGCCCACUCUCCCCUUCAGGCCUCUCUGGAGGGACCGUACCCUGACUUCUGAGGAUGCAGGAACCCAGCUCCCCUGAAGCCUCAGCCCUGAGUCUUCCCUGACCAGAACACAAUGCCUCAAGGUGGCCCCUUUGCAGCAACCUCCUUGUUUUUCCCUCUCCCAGUCCCCUCUUCAGAUCCCUCACCCCAAGCCCCAUGCCUGGGCUCCUUCCUGCCUUCCCAGGCUGGCUCAUAUCUAGCAGCCACUUUUGGAACAGCCUGCUCUGAGAGAGGCCUUGGUAAGUUACAGGGCAGGGACCUGGUUGGGUAAUGACUGGAGUCUCUGACCUGCCUGGGCCCACUUAUCACUGGAGGCCAUGGGAGUGCCAACCUGAAAAGGCUGCAGGAUCUUGCAGAAUGGUAAUGUGCCAGACCCAAAGUGGGCAGAGAGCUUGGGGAUGGAUGUUCAGGUCUCUCAGGCCCUGUCAUCCUGGAGUGGAACAAGAAACAGCCCAGUGUCCUAGAUGACACAGCCACACUGGCUUGGGGUCACCCUUGGGCAGGUGGGUAACCUCUGGCUCCAGGGAGCUUGGCAUGUGCUGAUACCAGCACUGGCAGCCCUCACCCCCAUAGUGGUGAUUUACUGGGCAGCUGCAAGUUUGGCUGUGAUCCACAUAAGUGCCUGGUCUCUCACCACCUUCACCUGCAGGGGCCUUGCAAGACCCAAGAGUUGGUAAGGCCUGGCUGCCCAGCUAGAUGGACUGUGGGUGAUGGCCCUCUCCUCCCAGUAGGACUUUUUGCAUGUCUGGAUGCUGGUCCGUGACCAAGAGAACCAAGGUGAGCGAGAGCUCCAACAGGAGAAGCAAGCAGCCAGAAGGAUGAGAAGGGACAGUCCCCUCUCUGAGGGGACAGCCAAGAGGCAAUACAGGCACUGCCACCUGUAUUGCACACAACAUGAGCCACUAAACUAACACUGAUCACUUUGGAGGUCCAUCAUAUCCAGGACUUGGUACAGGCCUUGGCCACAGUGUAAGCCAUCAUUCUGCCUUCUGGUGCUGACCUGUACCUGGGCAGCCCAUCUGGCUACCAGCCUGCUCACACCUCUGCUCCUGCCUUUUUACCCAGCCAGGAGGGGCCCAGAAGCUCAGAGCCCUAUUCUCAGGGUGUCCAUGACUAGUCACCCCUGCUUUCCAGUGAUCUGCUGGCUCCCUUGGAGCCUCUUCACACCCUACCCACCAUGAGGUACUGCCAACCUCUCUGUGAACUGGGGGGGCCUGGAAAGACAGUGGGCAGGUCCUGUCUGAUCAUAAUUACCCCUUAAGAUAGCCACUCCUUCCCUGGAGGUGGCCUCAUUCUGGCUACCCAACCCUGCCAGUUCUCUGGUUACACCUGCAGCCCCCAGCACCAUGGGUCCCGAUUUCCUCAGUGAUUUGCAAGGCCAGGCCUUGCACCUGGCUGGCUGCAAAGGCAGGAGGCCCAGGGCCUCACUACGACAAAGACACACAUGGCUCAGGACAACCUCCUGACCCCCAGAGAGUCCAAAGAACAAAACACCCUUUAGAAAAAUGUUGGUAGAGAGAAGGAGAGUUUCCACAAGUGACCCUCAGAAGGGCCGCGAGUGUCACUCACAGAUCUUGACACAAAGACAUUUAUCAAGGGGAAUCCCCAACGGGUUAGCAGCCAGAAUGGGACUGUGGCCAGAAUGGACUUGGGUGCCCCACUGACCCCGCUGCACGGCUGUCACCGCUGGGCACCCCAGCGGGGAGUCACAUGUCGCAGGGGAAUCACACCGUGGCCGGGCACCGGGGAUUGGCCUGGCCAUGCCGUGACGGCGGGGGAGGACGGGCAUGCAUCCCAGGCCAGCUGUGCCUCAGGGGAAGGCCAACUGGAAGGCGUGGAAAAUCAGCCAUUUCCUCCACCUGAAGGAGCCCCUGAGGACAGCAGCAGCAACUGGCAGACUGCACCCGGCAUCUGCCCCAUGGCUUUGGCCAGGGUUCCAUGGGGAAAUGCUAAAAAACAAAGUCGUCUCUUUUUUGGGGGGCAGGGGAGGGGGCUGGGGGAGAGAAAAACAAUCUCAGACUCUCAAAGCAUGAAAACAAGUGGAAAAUGAUCAGUCUGGUUUUCCAUAAGUCAAAACAAGAGGAUCAUGUUCCCAGGCUCAGUGGGAAGUGCCCUUGCUCUCCUCUCUUGCCUGGUGCCUCCGUGUUGGGGCCAGGCAGACGGCAAGUGGUGGGCACUAGGCGAGUAGAUAGCACUCUGGCCAGAGAGCAAGGCUUCCCCAGCACCAAGUCUGACUCCUUGAGCUCCAGUCCCCUCCAGCCCAGCCCUUCACGCACAUGUAGGCACUCACUGUGAGAUGUGGGUGAUGGGUGUCAGCAGAGUCUCCCCUUCCAGGUCCAGGUCCUCGGCGAAGCUGUUGGUUCUCAUGAAAUGGGGCAUGCUCACUUCCAGCAGUGUUGGGCUCUUCCUUACUGAGGAGAAAGUGUGGGGACAGCACGUUAGGCCUCCCACCCAACCUGCCAGUGCUGUGGAGCCAGGCCUGUGAGCUCCCAGGGCCAGGUGAGGAGUGGAGCUUGUGCCUGGAAGCUCCAGCCCUGACAAUCAGUUUUAUAGUUGGGUGUUGGGGUGGGUGGGUGUUUAAGAUGGCCCCAAAGUGCCUGACACCUCAGUGUCUGAGGAGAAUAAAGGCCAGUGAAUCAUCUUCGGAGUGGUAACUGUGCCUGGGGCUGUGCUCAGGUGUCCAAGACUCUCCCCACCUCAGGUUCUGGGCCUCUUCCCAUGUUCACAACUGACACUUGGGUCAAGAAUAAAACAGAGGUGACAGGCACAGGCCUGGUAAGGGACAACAGCUCCCACCACCAUACAUUGUCACACUCAUACAUUGACAGAGUAGUGGGUCAGGAAAGAUGGGGUGAUAGGACCUCUGACCCAUGAGGAAUGGCAAGCCUGGGAGGUGGGGGCAGCCACAGAACUCCUUCCUCAAAACACGAUGCUACAUCAACCAGUUGUACCCCCAAUGAGGCACAGGAGUCCCUCCAACAGCUGGCUUCACAUUAUGAUUCCUGGGCCCACCUCUGCAACUUUGACACAGGAGCUCAGGAUACUGAUCCUUAUCACUCCCCACUCUCUGUUGACACUAUCAGUAUUUGCUCUUGGCUUAUAUUUGUCUUCAUUUAAAUAUUUUAUUGCAAAAGGAUUAAGUACUCAUCUGUGAGAAGUGGAAUAAUUCAAAGAUUCACAAUGGCUUUCCUCCCCCAAGGUCAUCAGUGUUAACUGCCAACUAGAUCCCUAGCCCACCCUCUCUGCUCAUCCGAGCAGCAGAUGCCAGGUGGGAGUUGCUUUUAUGCACAUGGGAUGUCACUGUGACUCUGUUCCUGUCACUCUGUAACAUAAGCUCAUUUCAUUUUUCUCUAGGUAUAUAGGCAUGGAUUUAAUUAUUUUAGUCAUUACAUAAUAGUCCACAGUUUAGAUUGGCCACAGCUAACCAUUCUGUAUAUCAUGGACAUUCAGGCUCUUAUAGUUUUAAGCUGCUUAAUUAUUCAGACUAUGAUGCCAUAUUCAUCUUUAUUCUUAAAAGCUGACAUACUGGAGCAGGGUGAGAGGGUGUGUCCUUAGUAAUUUUAAUAAAUGUUGCUAGAUUGCUUUCCCAAGAAGUUGUAGCAAUUCAGGCUCCCCCAGCUUUCCCACAUCCAUGCCUGAAUGAAGUGUUGAAUGAAGCCCGAAUGAAGGUUGUCAGCACCUUUUGCAGGGACUAUCAAGCAUGGAUGAAAACUGAGGCAUUGCUGUUAUUUCCAUCUGUGUUGAAUACCUUUUAUGGGCUUGGCAUCUGUUUGGGUUUCCUCUUGCAGAAUUGCCUGUUCAUGUCCUUUGCUCACUUUUGCUUAUCACUUUGUAGGAAUUUUCUAUACAUUACAGACAUUAACUCCUUGUUAUAUGAGGCAUAGAUAGCUUCCCCAGUCUGUUUUUUCACCUGAAUUAUGUUGCUUUUAUCCUAGAAAAUGUUUUAUGUUUUUAAAGUGAUACAUCUUUUGCUUUAUAAAAAAGGAAGGUUUUCCCACAUCAGCGUAAUACAAUUCUCUCUUAAAUUUAUUCCUAAUUUCACUAUUUGAAUGUGUUGUAUGUAUACAUAUGUAUGUGUGUAAAAGUUUUAAUGCAUUUAGUAUCUAUGCCUGAUAGGACAGAUGAUCAACAAUUAGAAAAUGAAAAUUUAAAGGGUACUACAUACAAACUUACUGAAAAAAAAUCUAAAAUAAAACAUAAAACCAUAAAAUAUCUUGAAGAAAACAUAAGAGAAAAUCUCCAGGACCUUGGAUUUGGCAGUGAAUUCUGAAAUACGAAACCAAAAGUUUAACUCGUAAGAGAAAAAGAAUCAACAAAUUGGACUUUAUCAAAAUUAAAAGCUUUUGCUGUGCAACAGACACUGCUAAUGGAAUGAAAAGACAAAGCACAGACUUGGAAAGAAUAUUUGCAUAUCACCUAUCAGGUCAAGGACUUGCACUCAGAAUAUAUAAAGAAUGCUUACAACUUGACAAUAAAGUGAACAAUCCAAUUUUAAAAAUGGAUUAUAAAUAAGCACAUGAAAAGAUACAUAAUUAACAUAAAUAUGGAAAUGCAAAUUAGAAUCACAAUGAAAUUCCAUAAAUUAAAAAAAAAAUUCAAAACCUGACAAUACCAACCACUCUUGAGGAUGUGGAACAUGUAGAACUCUCAUAUGUUACUGGUGGGAAUGCAAAAUGGCACAGUGACUUUAGGAAAUAGUUUAGCAAUUUCUUAUUAAGUUAAACAUACACAUACCACAUGACCUAUCGGUUCCUUUCCCACCCAAGUGAAUUGAAUUUUUAUGUUCGCAAAAACCUGUACAUAAAUGUGUAUAGUAACUCUGCUCAUAAUUACCAAAUACUGGAAACAAUGAAGAUGUCCUUCAACAGGUGAAUGCAUAAACAAAAUGUAUAUAUUCAUGCAAUGGAAUACCACCCAGCAAUAAAAAGAAAUUAACUAAUGAUUUAUGCAACAACAUGGAUGAAUCUCAAAUGCAUUUUGCUAAGCAGUGAAAGAAGCCAGAUGCAAAAGAAUACAUAUUAUAGGAUCCCAUUUAUAGGACAUUCUAGAAAAACAAAACUACAGGGACAUAAAACAGAUCAAUAGCUGCCAGUGGUUAGGGGAGAAGUACUUGACUUCAAAAGACUCACCCCAGGGUAUUUUUAGGGGUAUGGAACUUCUGUGAAUGAUACUGGAUUGUGGACACAUGACUCCAGACAUCUGUCAAAACCCACAGAACUGAAUCUCAAAGAGUGGAUUUUACUGUAUGCAAAUUUAAAAAAUUAACCCGGAUGUUGGAGGACCCUACGAUGAAAAGCAGACUAUGAUGAGCGUGUUACAAACAAAUGACAUAGCAGUGAAAGGAAAGGAGGAGGAGGAGCUGGCAUAUGUUGCUUUCAAAAACACUGUUUUGACUGGACACUCUAUGGUUAAAGCAAAAGUCUGUCCUAAACACUCUAAUCUAGUAGGUAAAUUUGCUUCACAUAGGGUACUACGUGUACAAUAGGGUUACACAAAUAAGUAAAUGAACUGUAGGUAAUGGGAGCCAGGUUUCUAGCUGUCAGAGAAAAAGCUAUAAAUAAGUUGUGGGGGAGGGGGCAAGGAUGAACUCUGGUCAGAAAUGUCAGUAUGAACUCAUGGUUAGCUUUAUAUAGAUACAGAUAUGUAAAGAUGUAUGUGUACUCAGGUUACAUACAUACAUAUAUUUCCUAGCUCUGUCCACUGAGAGGAGACUGAAGCAAUGAUACCCUAGUAGCCACGAGCAUACCCCGUGCCUAGAUCCAGGUUUUCUAUUCAUUCUCCAGGGAGCCAGGGCUCUCUGGAUGAAUGGAUGAUUCUAGGGCUAGGGUAGGGAAAAUAAAAGAUGAGCCUGAAGUAUUGUCAAGUGCUAGAAAAGAAAUGCUUAAAAAUAAAUGAAAAGGAUGGCGGGGGGCACAUCAAAAGGACACAUGAACCCACCAGUGGCCACAGCUUGAACAAUUUGAGCAACAAAAUAAAUAAUAUUGGACUAUAACUCAAAAAAUAAAUACUCCCAAAUCCACACUGAUAAAAUUAAAUAAACAAUUGGAGGAGAGGGACAAAUCUUCCUUAUAAAGGAAUUCCAAAUAAAAAAUGUAGAAGGAAUGAGGAAAAUAGAAGUACAUCACGGUAAUAUUUGCUGCAGGAAAACGAUCCAUGAAUGAAUGCUGAAAUUAGUUAGUGAAACUCAGAAACUUCACAGUUUCUUCCUUGAAAUGUAUUUUAAUUGCUGUGGUAGUUUUAACAUAUUUGCAGAUUUUUUUUGAUACUCUCCUGCAGGAGGUAGAGUUGAACCCCUCCCUUCCCCACCUUGAGUGUGGGCUAUACUUAGUGACUCGCUUCUAAAGACUAAGCUAUGGAAAGGGAAAAACAGCUAUUCACUUACAGUGGAGGAGCCUGGCCGACACCACUUUAAACGAGUGGCUCAAGGUUAAUAUUACCAGUGAUAAACCAUGUUGAUGUCAUGUUCCACAAUGAGGAAAGCAUCUCACCUCACUGGCCUCCUUCCCCUAAACCUAUAACCCUGGUCUAGUCCUGAGAAAACACCAGACAAAUCCAAACUGAGGGACAAUGACACCUGACUGGUAUUCUUCAAAAGUGUCAAGUUAAUGAAGAACAAGACUGAGAAGCCCGUCACCGAUCAGAGAUGACAAUAAAUGUAAUGAUCGAUCCUAGAUGGGAUCUUGGAACAGAAAAAGGACAUUAGUAGUUAAACUGGGGAAAUCCAAAUAAAUUUAUAACUCUAGCUUAAUAGUGUACCAAUGUUAAUUUUUUAGUUUUGGUCAAUGUACCAUGGUUAUAUAAGAUGCUAACAUUAGGGGAAGCUGGUGAAAGGGAUGUGGGUACUCGGUACUAUUUUUGUUUCUCUUCUGUAAAUAAAAAAUGUGAGGUAACAAGAGAAAACAGAACCUGUAUACAAUAGCACAAAAGAAUAUUAAUUAUCUAACUAAGUAUAUGCAAGAACUCUGGAGAAAAUUGUAAAACUUUAGUAAGAGACAAUGAAGAAGAUAUAAAUGGAGAAAUAUGCCUUCAUUCCAAUGACUAGAAGACUCAAUACUGAAAAGAUUAUCUCAAAAUCUGAAUAAAUCUCUCCAAAUCUUAAUAAAAAUCUCAAGGCUUCUGUGUGAGAACUUUGGCAAGCUGAUUCUAACUGCGACUUGGAAGUGCAAAAAGCCAAGAAUUGGCAAUAUUCUUGAAGAAGAACAAGGUGGGAGAACUUGCUGUACCAAACAUCAGUACUUCUUCCAAGGCAGUGGUCAUUAGGGCAAUGUGGUAUUGACACAGGGAGAGACAAAUAGGCCAAUGGGACAGGAUUGAGCAUUGGGAAACAGCCCACACAAAUAUGGAAGCUUGCUGUGUAUCAGAGGUGGCCUGCACAUCCUGGGAAGAGCAUGGACUUUUCAAUCAAAUGUUCAGGAGCAGUUGGAUACCCACACUGGAAAAACAUUAAGUUGGACCCUUAAUUACCUCACAUCAUAUACCAAAAAUUCAUUCUUGUCAUUCUAGGGGAUUGAAGACCUAACUAUGAAAAGCAUAACUAUAAAGGUCACAUGACUGAAUAUAGAAGAAUAUCUUAAUGACAUCAGCAUUAGGAUGGUUUUUUUUAAAAGAAGCAAUAACCAUGAGAGAGAAGACUGAGUAAUUUGACAUUAGAGUUAAGACCCAAUCAUCAAAAUACACCUUAAAGAGUGAAAAGACAGUGCCCACAAAAUGCAAAGGACUCCUACAAAUCAAUAGGAAAAAUAUAAAUGACUUAAUAGAAAAUGGGCAAUAGACAAAGUAGCACAUCACAAAAGAGGAAUCCAAAAGGCUGAUGAGCAUGUGGAAAGGUGUUGCGCCUGACUAGCAAUCAGGGAAAUGUAAAUAAACUCAGGAGCUCAUGGCCCGUGGGGGCGAGUGGCAGACUUCCAGCAGGAAACCACACAGACAUUACUUAGUCACAGCCAGGAGAAGGGCUCAGAGUGAAAGGGCUCUGUGCCCAUGACAUCCUUAGAGAGACCAGGGAAGGACCUGUAAGGCUUGAAGAAUGUGCAGAUUUGGAGACCCACAGGUCUGGGACCUGGCAGAAGCAUGUUACUGCCCCCAUUUUAGAGAUUUGGGGCUGAGAUUCAAGUACCCUAGGUUAUAUAAUGCAGUUGUCAAGUGACAGAGCUAAAACUUCAUCCAGGAUUCAAUUUUUUUUAAAGGAAGGAAGAAAGAAAAAACAUAUUUUGAUGUUUGCAUCACUUGUAUGUAGAAGGAACGAUGGAGCACAGGCUAGAACGUAGAGUUGCUUUCCAAACACCCAUGAUGACAAGUGCCCAUCUCCAAAGCCUGAGGGCCAAGGGUGAGCCACCUGACCCCUGAGGAAGGUUCUGUCCUGGUGUUUUAGGAAAUUAAAAUGUGCACAUCAGUUGGCUGCCCAGAGUGGGUGGGACCUGCACCUGCCAGAGAGGAAUGUGUGCUUUUUGGUUUAAUCCUGGGAACGGCAUAUGGGGCCCCUAUAACAAGGGGCAGAGAAGGCCUCCACAGAUUUGUUUUUCCAAUUCAAGAGGAGAGGUUAUUGUCUGCUGGCUUGUGUGUUGGAGACUGUGGGGCGUGCUUUCUCCACCACAGGGAGGCAGUGACCAGAGCUGCCACCUCUUCCCUGUUUUCACCUGUGGUCGUAGCCAGGUCAGGCAUCUAGGAGAGCAUGGAGGGGAGCUGGGGGUGGGUGGGUGGGGAUUCAGCUCUUUCCAGACACACUGGUGCUGCCUCUUUCAGGCCAGGGCUUGAGGGCAAGUGCUGUGCCCUAACAGGUCUUGCUUGUCACCCCCACCUCUGAAGUGGGUAUUUCACAGCCUGAACUCACAGCUGCAGAGAAGGUUGAGCCCAUGGUGUACUUGAAAGGGCAGUUCAUCUGGAUAUCCAGGCUCUGCAGGAGGUACCGGAGCAAUGCCAGGUGCCCUUUGCUGAACUGCCUAGAGUGGCUGGCCCUGGGGACAAAGAGCACAGCAUCCUGGUGACAAUGAAGUCACACUUUCCUAAGACAGUCCUGGUUUUUGAUGCUUUAAUUCUUUGGCUGCCUUUGCUUUGUCAAGGCCAGGAUCUGGGCCUAAAUUUUCAGGGCAGAACAAAACAAUUUUGUUUUCUAGGAAAGUGGGAGGUCUGGGAUGGCAAAGGCAGCCUCGGGCGUGGCGACUACCCCAGCUGGGGACGCUGGCUGCCAAGUCUCACCCUCUCAAGAGAACAGGAAUCAAACUCAGCACAGCAUCCUCCUUUCUAGUCAGUGGUCCUGCUCGAUAGGGGGAUUUGAAUUUUAUUUUUUUAAAAAUACAGGCACAGAAAAAAGACUAGAAGGAAACAGAUCCAAAUGUUAACUUUGUCUUUGGGUGAUUUUCAUUUCCUUCCUUAUUGUGUCUGUGUUUUCUAUUUUGCAUGAUACUUUUCCAAGUCAAGAAACAAUAAUUUGUGGAAGUCUCCUGUAUCUGUGCCUUGCUCUCUGGCCCACGACCUUGCACAUCUUAUCCUAGAGUUGCCAGAAUAUGUCCCUCCACCUGGCCUGGAGCUGCCCAUGAGGCUACAUAGAGCUCUCCUAUCAUGAAAGUCUUUGAGGCUUUCUGUUCCCAAGAAAUUCUGGUCUCACUUCCUCUGCCUUCUCAUCGAGCCCCAGACCCCUCCCUGCCCAGAUUAGGUCAGCAUUCAAGCCCCAAGUCCAGCCUAUGACAAAGCUCAAAGCUCCAGCCCAUCUCUGCUGCCCUCUGCCCUCAAGAGACUCUCGCCAGUGUCUGGGCCCUUCCUAGUAACUUCACCCAACCACUCACCCCCUGCCCUUCCCCUCCUGAUUGAUUAAAAUCCGGCCUAAUCUCCCAGGUGUAACCCAAGCCCUCUUCCACAAGCUUUCCAGGGCUCCGGAGAUUGCCCCCUCCCCUGUACGGCUGCAGGGCUUAUGUGUGCCUGGCGCUCAGCACGGGAACCUUGCCUUCUGCCUCACCCAUGUCUCCCCAGGGUUUGGCACAGGCGAGUUCCCUGAGCCAGCCUACUUCACAAGGAUGAACAGAAGCUCUCCCUAUCCUUUGCAAGUAGAAGCCCCCUCCCUGGCCCCCUCAAGAAAUCUCCCCCUCUCAGUGGAUUCACCAAAGCCCUGCGGAUCCUGCACUGUGAAGGAGAAGCCCUCCCCAGGGGCAUCCGGACAGCUGCAGCCAGGCCCUGCGUGACAUUGCUGAGCCGCAGCCCCACAGCCUGUGCCAGCUGCCCAUGCCCGGCUCAUAGACCCUGAGCCAGAGUGGCCCCGCCACCACCUGUGUCUCCACUCAGAGGCGAGAAGUAAGGGACAUGGAUGGAAAGUGUAAAAGCCAUUCCCACAACAGCUGCCAGGAACAAGGCGAGGAAUGGAGUGAAAAUGUAUAUUCACAGCUGGCACCCAGUUCCGCUUAGGAAAAUACCUUGCUUGAGUGGACACCUGUUGUUUUUGCCUGCCAGCAGCCAGGCCUGGCUUCUGGGAACAGCUUCUCAAAUCUUCCUUAGGGGGCUCUUCCUUUCCCACUCCUAGUGUGCAGUGUUUAGGUACCCUCUGGCCAUCCCCAAAGGGGUCCCUGUGGACCUUGCCUCAGCCAUCGGAGGUACAGCUGCAGGUCCAAGGAUGGCUUGUACCCCAGCUGAGGCCAAUAAGAACCUGGCCUUAGAUUCUGGCAGGAAUCCUGGAAGAGAUGACCUCGUUCUGCUGGGCUUCCUGAGCUGUUGAAUGCAAGCUGGUGGCCAUUUUGCCCCUUUUAGAAAGUAGCUGCCUAAGGAUACAGCCAUCCCAUGGGGCCAAUGGAUAGAGAGCAAGGGAAAGGGAGAACAAAAGAGGGAACGGGAAGGGAGAAGGGGAGUGCAAGAGGGGAGAGUGAGAGCAAGUGAGCAAGAUCAUCUCAGCUCUGGGGUCCAGCUGUGUCUGAAACAGCUGGGUCCAGCUGUGUGAGCCAAAAAAUGUCCCUUUUGUGCUUAAGCUUGUUUGAGUUGGGGUUCCAUCAUUUGUUACCAAGAGAGUCUUCAGGAAUGUGCAUGACAAAGUUGGGGGUGAGGUGUGAGCCUACGGACAUGGGCCUGGGGGCAGUCAAGGUUACAAAAUAGCUAAACUGGUCUGCACUGCCCCCACUAGUUUUCAGGGCAGAGGGCAGGGAGAAGGCUUGUGGGAAAGAAGCUGGCCUGAGGCCAAGGCCCUGGCCCUAGCCCUGCAACAGCACAGGGAACUCUUGGAAAGGGAUUUCCUAAGGUGGGACAUUGGCUUUCUACUGCUGUGAUGCAAGUCCUCAUCUCCCCAAACCUUCAGUGAGCCUCUCUCCACACCCUGCUGUAUGAGGAUGUUUGAUGCAAAUUAUGGAACAUGUUGGAUCUCACAUUGGAUCAAAGGUGUGCAGAAUAGAUUUGCCUCAAGCAUGACAGUGAUGUGACACAGUCAAAGAUGACUUCCGGAAUCCUGAGAAGUCCCAGGGAGGAUGCUGGGCUUUCCAAAACCUAAGUUUAGGAUACUGAGGACCACACCCCACACCCCAAACACUUCUCCUUAGAAUAAGUAUAGCAAGCCUCAGCAUACACAAAUCUCAGAGUGAACGGAAAUGUCUCUGCAGGCCCAAGGGUGGGGUCUGAGUAGCGGGGGCGCUGAGGAAGACAGGCAGUGACAGAGCCAGGACAGGGUCAACCCUGAGCGUGAGUGAGCCCAGGAAACGGAAAGAGAGCAACACAGCCACCCACACAACUAAAAUCGACCCACCCGGGUCUCCAUGCUGCAGGAAGUCACUGUCUAGGUCUCCCAAGACACAUUUUCAGGGGAAGGUUCCAGGCAGCAAGAGCAGCCCUAGGAAACUUUAAUAUACAAUGGAAUCUGGGUUAAGCACUAUCUUCUCCAAGAGUUGAGCUCACAGGACAUUCCCCAGAAACCUCUGGAGAGGUGGGGAGGAAAGUUUCUGGAGGUCUUUGGAUGGAGAAAACAAAAAAGUGGCCUUGAUUUUCAAGACAAAAUUACACAGGAAGAAAAAAAUGUUUUUAAUCUAAUUAAGAGCGAUCUUUUCACCUUCAUCACAACAUCGCGGAAAUGUGCCAGUUCUUAACUUCACACAAUAAUCAAAGCAAUUAGUGAGGGAGAAGCCUUGGAAACCGGUGCAGAUGUUCUCAGAAUGUUUAAUGGGGAAAUGAGUUGCAGGCCUCAUUCUCAGCAUCCGGCUCCAGGCCCUGGCUACCAAAUCCAGACAUCUGCUGGGGCCCCACCCCCAGGCCCCGAGGGCGCGGGCUUGAGAAACACAGGUCCCUUCCCAGGCCACCUCCCAGCCAGGCCAGAACUGGGGCCGAGAGGCUCCCCAUAGCUUCUCAAAUUGGAGCCUGGACACAGUCAGAGCCACCCCAGAACUGGGGGGAGGCUCAACAUCAAAAUUAUGUUAACAACUGAUGUCAAAAGUAAUCAACUCAGCUUGGCUCCCCCACUGCUGCUGGCUGCAGGAGGGCUGUGAGUAGGAGGAGAGCAAGCGGCCCCAGAGGGACCCUCGGCUAUGACCCCCUCAGCCUGAACACUACUUCAAGAAAAGAUGUGGUGGCAUCUGUCUGGUAUGGUCCUGUGGGCUCCAUUCCAAUGCUAAUGGACUCUUAAGGGGCCCAGGAAUCAAAAUGGUCAACACUUGAGGAAUUUCCAGUAAUCAGAGAAAACGUAUAGAAAUGAGGAUGAUGCUUACUUAGGAAAUGGCCUAUUACAGGAAACAGAGGGCCACGUGGCUAAUGUCAGUGAGCUGUGGGAGAGACAGAGACCCCAGGUGGGGCAGGCAGAUCAGCAAAUCUUGGAGGACCUGCUAUGUGGCAGGCACUGGAGACAUGGAGGUAAAGAACACAAUAUCCAUGUUCUCAGGGACACACUCAUAUGCCCUUAGCAUUCACGUUCUUCACACUGACAGCUUCUUAAUGCAAGCCCACCAGAUACUUUCAUAAGCACUACCUCUGACUUCAGGCACUUGCUGAGCUGCACACAGGGCAGGCCAAAAGGAAUGGAAAGUGAGCCACCACCGGGGCAGCACUCACUAGUGAAAGAUAAAUACCCCAGCUCUCUCAGCCGCUUGUAGAACUCUGAGGAGUGUUCUGUGCAGCUUCCCAGCUGCCCACCAUGAAGCUCUUUCUCAAUAAGUGACCAGCACAGCUUAAUUCCUGAAUUAAGCUGUGUGUGCUGUGAGACUGACACAAGACAGGGUGACAGGAAGCUGUCGGAACAUUUGAGUAGGGAAGCAGCAAGAUCCACUGUACAUUUAAAGAACUCCCUUGAGCUGUUAUGUGAAGAAUGGAGUACAGGAAGCAAGAGUGGAAAUCAAGAGACCAGUAAUGAGGUAUGGACAACAAUGUAGGCAGAGAAAUGGUGGUGGUUUUAACCAGGGAGAUAGCUGGAGAGACUAGGUGUGGGCAAAUCCAGAGAGUUGAUAAGACAUACUGAUAGAUUAGAAAGGGGUACUAAGAAAAAAGGAUAAUUUAAAAAAGACUUUCAGCCAGGCUUGGAGAAAAAUAGCAUGCUGCUCCUCAUCCCCUCUGACUAUAAAUCAUCUCACUCAUCCUCCCCUAAAAGCAUAAAAUCAGUAAGUGCAAAUAAAACCACAUGACCCAUGCUGUUAGCAGUAUUAGGAGAAAGAAUACCUUCAAAUUGCCUGUGGGUAGCAAAGUGAGCCAAAUUCCAAUAGCAUUCUAGUCCCCUGCCCAGCACUGCAAAACUGCAUACAGAAUCAGAGAAGAGGCUUAAAAUGCUUUGUCAAAAAGUUUGAAGGUAGUUAGCAACAUCAGCAAAAAUAGAGGAGUAAGUACCUCUAAGGAGCCUUCUUGCCUUCACAGACAUCCUAAGCACCAAGCAGCCUAAGCCACUGAUGAACUUGCAGAUACCACUGAUGUGGAUUAUAGUCUAAUUAAUUGUAGAGACACCACACUUCUGCACUGAACCAGAACCAAAGCCAAAGCACCCUACCCAAAUGAUACUACAGACGCGUGUACAGGAAAAGUCCUUACUAAGGCUACUCCAUAAAAUUGGAAGUCUCUGUUAUUCCAGAUAUGCAGAUAUCAACUUGGGGACACAAAAAACUUGGGGGGAAAAAAACAAGAAAACAUGACUUGCCAAAAGAACACAAUAAUUCUCCAAUAAUAGACUCCAAAGUAAAGGAAAUCUUAAGGAAACCCAAUGAGAUACAAGAGAACACAAAUAGACAAUACAAACAUAUCAGGAAAACAAUUCAUUAUCUAAAUGGGAAAUCCAGCAGAGUUAGAUAUGAAAAAGAACCAAACAAAAAUCCUGGAGGUGAUAAAUUAAAUGAAUGAAAUAAAAAAUACAAUUGAAAGCUUCAAAAGCCGGCUAAGUCAAGCAGAAGAAAUAAUUUCUAAAUUUGAAGACAGGUGUUUUGCAAUAAACCAGACAGAUUUAAAAAAUAACAAUAAAAAAGAAUGAAGAAUGCCUGCGUGACAUAUGAGACACUAUUAAGCUAACAAUAUUUCACAUUUUGGGAGUUCCAGAAGAAGUGUUGGGAUAAGGACCAGAAAAUCUAUUUAAGAAGAUAAUACCUGAAAACUGCCAAAGUUUGGGAGAGAAAGAGACUAACAGAUAAAGGAAGCUCACAAAUCCCUAAAUAGAUUCAACCCUAAAAGGGCCUCUCUGAGGCACAUUUUCAUCAAACUGUCAAAAAUCAAAGAGAGAAUUUAAAAAACAAGAGAGAAGCAUGAAGUCACAUAUAAGGGAAUCAACAGCAGAUUAACAGAUUUUUCAGCAGAAACCUUCUAGGCCAGGAAAGAAUUGAAUGCCAUAUUAAAAGUGCUGCAAGGUGGGGAAAAGCUCACAAAAUUGCUAGCCACAAAUACUAUACCCAGCAAAGCUAUCCUUCAGAAAUGAAGCAGAAUGAGGGAAGAAAUUUUGCCUCCCUCAGACAAGCAAAAACUGAGGGAAUUCAUUACUACUAAAUCAGCCCCACAAGAAAUGCUUAAGGGAGUACUACAUCUGGAAGUAGGAGGAUGAUAUCUACCAUCAUGAAACUACAAAAGCAUAAAACACUAGUAGAGCAGAUACACAAAUGAGAAAGGAAAAGGAAUAAAAGAUUAUCACUACAGAAAACCAAAAAAUUGCAAAGAAAAACAAUGAGAGGAAACAAAAGUAUACAAAUCAGUCAGAAAACAAUAAAAUGACAGGAGUAAGUCCUCACCUAUUGAUAACAAUCUUGAAUGUAGGUAAUUUAAAUUUCCCAAAUGAAAGAUAGAUACUGGCUAAAUGAAUUAAAAAAAUAAAACCCAAUUACAUGCUGCCUAUAAGAAACUGACUUCACCUGUAAAGACACCCAUAGACUGUAAGGGAAUGGAUAGAAAAAGAUAUUCCACACAAACAGACACCAAAAGCAUGCAGGAGUAGACAGACAAAAAAUACUGAGUCAAAAAAAAAAAAAAAAAAAAAAAGAAAAAGAAAAAAGAGACAAAGGAGGUCAUUAUAUAAUUAUAAAUGGAUCAAUUCAGCAAGAAGAUAUAACAAUUAUAUAUGCAACCAACAACACUGGAGUACCCAGGUAUAUUAAACAAAUAUUAUUAGUGCUAAAGAGAUAGACCCCAAUACAAUAAUAGUUAGGGAUGGCAACAUUUCAUACUCAGCAUUGGACAAUUCAUUUGGAUGGAAAAAUAUCAACAAGGAAAUAUUAGAUUUGAACUGCUGCUUCGUUAGCACACAGCACAUUCUCCAGGAUAUACCAUAUGUUAGGACACAAAACGGGUCUCAAUAAAUUUUUAAAAGUCAAAAUCUUAUCAAGUAUCUUCUCAGACCACAAUGGAAUAAAACUGGAAAUCAAUAACAAGAGGAACUUCUGAAAUUGAACAGAUACACGGAAAUCAAACUACAUGUUCCUGAAUGACCACUGUGUCUAUGAAGAAAUUGAUUUUAAAAAUUUAAAAAUUCUUUGAAACAAAUGAAAAUAGAAACACAGCAUACAAAAAUGUAUAGGGUACAACAAAAGAAGUGCUAUGAGGGACAUUUAUUUCAAUAAACACCCACAUCAAUAAGGUAGAAAGUUUUUAAACAAAUAACCUAAUAAACGCAUCUCAAGGAACUAGAAAAGCAAGAACAAAUCAAACCUAAAAUUAGAAGGAAAUAAAUAGUAAAGAUCAGAGCAGAUCUAAAUGAAAUAGAGAUAAAAGGUAAAAAAGACAAAAGAUCAAUGAAAUGAGGCCUCCCCCCCACCCCCCGAGACACGGUCUCACUCUGUCACCCAGGCUAGAGCGCAGUGGUGUGAUCUUGGCUCACUGUAACCUCUGCUUCCUGGGCUCAAGCAAUCCUCCUGCCUCAGCUUCUGAGUAGAUGUGCAGCACCACACCUCGCUAAUUUUUUUUUUUUUUUUUGGUAGAGAUGGGGGUUUGCCAUGUUGCUCAGGCUGGUCUCAAACUCCUGGACUCAAGCGAUCGGCCUGCCUUGGCCUUCCAAAGUACUGGGUUUACAGGUGUGAGCCAACAAACCCAGCCAAAAAACUGAUUUUUUGAAAAGAGAAAAUCAAUAAACCAUUAGCUAGACUAACCAAGAAGACCCAAUAAAUAAAAUCAGAAAUGAAAAAGGAGACUUACAAUGGACACCACAGAAAUACAAAAGAUUAUUAGAGACCAUUAUGAACAACUAUAUGUCAACAAUUAGAAAACCUAGAGGAAAGAGAUAAAUUCCUGGACAUAUAUAACCUCCCAAGAUUGAACCAGGAAGAAAAAAAAUCUGAACAGAGCAAUAACAAGGAAUGAGAUUGUAUCAGUAAUAAAGUCUCCCAGUAAAGAAAACCUCAGGAUUGCACGGGUUUUCUACUGAAUUCUACCAAACCUUUAAAGAACUAACAUGAAUUCUUCUCAGACAAUUCCAAAAGACUGAAGAGAAAGGAAUUCUCCCUAACUCAUUCUGUGAGGCAAGCAGUAUCUUGAUACCAAAACCAGAUAAGGACACAAUAACAGCAAAAAAGAAAACUACAGGCCAAUCUCCCUGAUGAACAUAGAUGCAGAAUCCUCAGAAACAAAACACACACACAGACACACAAACUAGCAAUCUGAAUCCAAUCGCACAUCAAAAAGAUAAUACACCAUAAUCAAGUGGGAUUUAUCCCAGGGAUUCAAGGAUGGUUCAACAUAUACAAAUCAAUAAAUGUGAUACAUCACAUUAACAGAAGGAAGGACAAAAAAAUACAUGAUCAUCUCAAUAGAUGCAGAAAAAGCAUCUGAUAAAAUUCAAAAUCUCUUCAUGAUAAAAAAAAAAGCUCAUCACAUAAUGUCUAGAAGGAACAUAACUCAAUGAAGGUCAUAUAUGACAAACCCACAGCCACCUGGGGAAAAGCUAAACACCUUCUCUCUUAGAACUAGAACAAGACAAGGAUGCCCACUUUCACUAUUCUUAUUCAGCAGAGUAAGAAAAGUCCUCACCAGAACAAUUAGGCAAGUAAAAGAAAAAGGGUAUCCAAAUUGGAAAAGAGAAUGUCAUAUUGUCCUUUGCAGAUGGCAUAAUCUUAUACAUAGAAAAACCUAAAGAUUCCACCAAAAUCUUUUAGAACUGGUAAAGGAAUUCAAUAAAGUUGCAGGAUAAAAAAAUCAACAAACAAAAAUUAGUAGGUGUGGACAUGAUGGCUCAUGCUUGUAAUUUCAGCACUUUGAAAGGAUGAGGCGGGUGGAUUGCUUGAGCCCAGGAGUUUGAGACUGUCCUGGGCAACAUGGCAAAACCUCAUCAGUACAAAAAUGAGCUGGGCGUGGUGGCCUGCACCUGAAGUUCAGCUACUCAGGAGGCUGAGAUGGGAGGAUCACUUGAACCUCGGAGGUGAAGGUUGCAGUGAGCAGAAAUUGCACCAUUGCACCCCAGCCUGGGCAACAGAGUGAGACCCUGUCUGCACUCCCCUGCCUCCCCCAAAAAAUCAGUAGCAUUUCUGUGAAACAGCAAAUUAGCCAAAAGAGAAAUGAAGAAAGCAAUCCCAUUUGCAAUAGCUACAAAAAAAAGCAAAGCUUAACCAAGGAGGUGAAAGAUUUCCACAAUGAAAACUAUAAAAUACUGAUAACAGUAAUUGAAGAGGCUACAAAAUUUUUUGAGACAUCCCAUGCUCAUGGAUUGAAAGAAAAAUGUUAAAAUGAUCAUAUUUACCUAUAGCAAUAUACAGAUGCUAUGAAAUCCCUAUCCAGAUAUCAGCAGGGGCUUCAAGAUGGCUGACUAGAGGCAUCUGGCACUCACCUCCUCCACAAAAUAUAGCAAGUAGGUAACCACAGUUUAUAUAGAUCGCCUCUGAGAGAAUGCUGGAAUUCAACUGAGAAGUAAUAAGAAAAACCCAAUGCAAGGGAUAAGAGGGGAGUCAGGCAGUCUGCUUCUAUGGGACUGGCUGGGAUCAUGAAGAGACUCCUCGAUGUGCAGAAAGGUAAGUAAGUGAGCCCCUAGUGGUCCACAUUCCCACAGCAGACUCCUGAAAUCCUAGUCAGAGAACCCCCUGACCCAUAGAUGCCUUGAGACUAACAAGAGGCUACCUACAGACUGUGAAAUGGCAAUGAACAGCUCCCAGAGAGGGAGAUCACCCUGAAUCCUCAGGCAAUUCACACAUCCCCUGAAUCCUCAGGCAACUUCAGGAAAGUCCCAUUUUGAUAGCCCAACCCCCACCAGACUGCAUCUGCUGUGGGCCCCACAUCCCUCUAUCUCAUCCCUGGAGCCCCAUGGACAUCCCUUACACAAAGCUGGUUGCCACUCCUGACUGCUCCCUCCAGGCCAAAGCAUGAGCCAUUGGCAAUACUCUGCUACCUCCGAAGCAAGGCUGCCAUGAGGAAAGGUGACCCUGCCCAUAGUCACCACCUGGGGCCGAAGCAUGCAUUGCCCAACUGCCUGUUUAUAGCUGCUGCCACUGAAAGCAAUCCCACUCAACUUCCCCAGGAGUAGGGCUGCAAUAGAGUUGCUGCUGCCCCAACAUGAGCAUUCAGCAGGGUAUACAGGGAUCUUCCUGUGCCUGCCUACCACAGUCAGUACAUUCUUGCAUUACUGGAGGGCCUCAGGACAGGCCCACCUGGCCUGGUCCCACCCUCUUUUCUCCCAGUGCCAGCGCAUACCAUCUCUGGGCCUAGGGAUCACCCUGCCCUAUCCAGUAUUGUUGGCACCUGAGCACUCCUGGGGGCUUGAGGACUGCCCUACCCAACUGACCAUUACCACCACAACUGGCAUUCACUUGAAUUUGCCACCUGUGGGCCUUGGGACAAGCUCAUCCAGCUUAUCCCAGCCAUCCCAAUACCAGCAUGGACACCUUGGGAGGCAGAAGAUUGUUCUGCCACUGCUACUGCCAUUGCCCAAGCCAUAUCUGCUGCUCAGAGCUCAAGGACCUACCCACCCUGUGGCCCAGCUCUGUCAUCAUUGGCACCUGAGCAAGUUGCCUGGAGGCCCAAAAUUGGUUUCCCUGGACUUGCUAACACUGGUACCAGCAUACACUACCAUUGGGCCCAAGGAUAAGCAUUCGGGGCCAGCCACUGCUGCCACUGGGGCCUGAGGACUGGCCCAGCUGGUGUCCCUAUCCCCAGCCAGACUUUACCACAGCCUCCACCAACAACUGCAUCCUAAACUACAGAGGAACUCCCAGACACUACUGGUGCUGUUUACAGCUGAAAAAAAUUCCAUGGAGAUCACACUACUGCAGGCACCCAGAAUCAAAACCAAAGUGCCCUGCCCAAAGAACACCAUAGAUAUAUCUUCAGGAACAAGACUCUCUUAGGAAAGACAGAUCAAAAAAUUGGAAGAAACUACUGUUACACCAGAUGUGCAGAUACCAGUGUAAGCACACAAGAAACAUGAAAAGGCAAAACAUGACAACUCCUAAGGAAUGCAAUAAUUCUCCAACAGAUUCCAGUGAAAAAGAAAUUGAUGAAACCUUGAAAAAUUCAAUAUAAUAUUAAAGAAGAUCUGAUAGACUAUACAAAGAAAUCAGAAAAAACAAUUCGGGGUAUGAAUGAGAAAUUUGCCCAAGAGAUAGAUAUAAAAAGAACCAAACAGAUAUUCUGGAAUUGAAUAAUAGAUUGAAUGAAAUAAAAAACAUAUUUGAAAGCUUCAAUAACAGACCACAACAAGCAGAAGAAAGAAUUUCACACCUUGAAGAUAAGUCUUUUGAAAUGACUCAGACAAAAAUAUAGAAAAAAUAGAAAAGAAUGAACAAAGGCUAUGUGACUAUAGGAUGCCAUAAGGUGACACCUUCAGUGUCCCAGAAGGUGAAGAGCAAACCAAAAGAUUAUAAAACCUAUUUAAUGAAAUAAUACCUGAACACUUCCCAAUCUCCCAAGAGAUUUAGAUCCAAAUAUAGGAAUCUCAGAACCCUAAAUAGAUACAAUUCAGAAAGGUCUUUUCCACAGCACAUUAUAGCAAAUUGCCCAUCCCAAGACAAAGAGAGAAUCAUAAAACCAGCGAUAAAAGAGGUUGUAGACACUUACAAGGGAACAACCUGCAGACUAACAGAUUUUUCAGCAGAAACUUUACAGGCCAGGAGGAUGGGAUUAUAUACGCAGAGUGCUGAAAGAAAAAACAAAACCAAAAACCUGCCAGCCAGGAAUACUGUACUUAGCAAAGUUAUAUUCGUCAGAAAUGAAGGAGAAAUAAAGUAUUUCCCUUAAAAGUAAAAGCUCAGGGAAUUAAUUGCCACUACACUGGCACUACAAAAAAUGCUUAAGGGAGUCUUACAGGAAGAAGUGAAAGGACAACUUCAUGAAAGCACACAAAAUAAUCAGAAAUCAAUUAAUGACAGGAAUAAGCCCUCACAUAUCAACAAUAACCUUGCAUAUAAAUAGAUUAAACUUUCUACUUAAAAGACAGACUGGCUGAAUGGACUUAAAAACAUGACCCAUCUAAAUGCUAUCUACAAGAAACGCAUCUCACCUGUAAAGACACAUAGUUGAAAGAAAGGAAUGGGAAAAGAUAUUACAUGCAAAAGGAAACAAAAACCAAACAGGAGUAGCUAUACUUUCAUCAGAUAAAACAAAGGUUAAGCUAAAAACACUAAAAAGAGACGAAGUCAUUAUAUAGUGACAGAGGGAUCAAUUGACCAAGAGGAUAUAACAAUUCUAAACAUAUAUGCACCCAACACCAAAGCACCCAGAUAUAUAAGGCAAACAUCAAAUCUGAAGGGAAAGGUAGACUUCAACACAAUAAUCUUGGGAACUUCAAUUCUCCAUUUCCAGUAUUAGACAGAUCAUCUAGACAAAAAAUUAACAAAGAAACAUUGGAUUUAAACUGCACUUUAUACCAAAUGGACCUAACAGACAUUUACAGACCAGUUCAUAAAACAGCUGCAGAAUAUACACUCUUCUCAUCAGUACAUGGAACACUCUCCAGGAUACAUUAUAUGUUAGGACACUAAGUAUGAUUUUAAAUAUAUAUAUAUUUUAAAUUGGAUUCAUAUCACAUAUCUUCUCAGACCACAAUAGCAUAAAACUAUAAAUAAAUAAGAGGAGCAUUCAAAACUGUAUAAAUAAAUGGAAAUUAACAUGUUCCUGAAUGACCAAUGGGUCAAAGAAGAAAUUAAGGCAGAAAUAAAAAAUUUACUGAAACAAGUGAAAAUAGAAGCACAACAUUCUGAAACUUAAGGGAUACUGCAAAAGCAAUGCUAAGAGGAAAGUUUAUUGUAAUAAAUGCCUCCAUUAAAAAAGGUAGAAAAGAUCUUAAAUAAUCUAAUGAUACACCUGAAGGAACCAGAAAAGCAAGAACAAACCAUACUAAACAUAAAAUUAGUAGAAGGAAAGAAAUAACGAAGAUCAGAGCAGAACUAAACAAGAAACUAAAUAAAUAUAAAGGAUCAAUGAAAUGCAAAAUCGGUUUUUGAAAAGAAACAAAAUAACCAGUGGCUAAACUAUCCAAGAAGAAAAGAGAGAAGACCUACAUGAAUAAAAUCAAAAAUGAAAAAGGGGAUAUUACAACUCAUACCAUGAAAUACAAAAAUCAAAACUCUUCAGUCUGAUCAAUAAAUUGAUUACAGUUACAGGAUUUAAAAAUCAGGCUUAUUUCUAUAUACCAAUAAAGAACCAGCUGAGAAAGAAAUCAAGAAGGCAUUAUCUUUUACAACCACUACAAAAAAUCUAGGAAUGAGUUUAACCAAAGAGGUGAGAAACCUCUAACAAGGAAAACUACAAAAGUCUGAUGAAAGAAAUUGAAAAGAACACACAAAAAACAUCCCAUUCUCAUGGAUUGGGAGAAUUAACAAAAUUAAAAUGACCAUACUACCCAAAGCAAUCUACAGAUUCAAUGCAGUCUCUCUCAAAAUACCAAUGCCAUUUUUCAUGGAAAUAGAAAAAAUCCUAAAAUUCAGAUGGAACCAAAAAAGAGCUGGAAUAGCCACAGCAAUUCUGAGCAAAAAUAACAAAGUUGGAUGCAUCACACUGCCUGAUUUAAAAAUAUAAGGCUAUAGCAUUAAAAGCAGCAUGGUAUUGGAAUAAAAACUGAUAGACCAAUGGAACAGAGUAGAACCUGGAAGUAAAUCCAUGUAUUUACAGCCAACUGAUUUUUGACAAAGAUGCCAAGAACAUACACUGGGAAAAGAGCACCCUCUUCACUUAAUGGAGCUGGGAAAAUAAGAUAUCCAUGUGAAAAAUGAAACCGUUUCUAUCUCUUGCUAUACUAAAAUCAACUCAAGAUGGGUUAAAGACUUAAACAUGAGGCAUGAAACUAUAACAUCACUAUUAAUGAAGGAGACAUUGGGGAAACACUUUAGGACAUUGGUCUAGGGAAAGAUUUUAUGGAUAAGACCUCAAAAACACAGACAAAAACAAAAAUAGACAAAUGGGACUAUAUUAAAUGAUAAAGCUUGUACACAACAAGGGAAACAAUCACCAGAGUGAAGAGACAGCCUGUUGAAUGGGAGAAAAUAUUUGCAAACUACUCAUCUGACAAGGUACUAAUACCAGAAUAUACUAGGAACUCCAAUAACUCAAUAGUAAACAACAAAUUAAUUCCAAUAAAAAGUGAGCAAAAGACAUGGAUAGAUAUUUCUCAAAAGAAAACAUACAAGUAGCCAACAGGUAUAUUUAAAAAAAAAAGCCCAACAUCAGUAAUUAUAAGGGAAAUGCAAGCCAAAACCAUAGUGAGAAUGGCUAUUUUAAAAAGACAAAAAUUAACCAAUGCUGGAGAGGAUGUGGAGGGAACUCUUAUACACUGUUGGUGGGAAUGUAAAUUAAUACUAUAGAAAACAGUUUGAUUUCUGAAAAACCUAAAAAGAGAAAUAUGACAUAAUCCAGCAAUCUCACUACUGGAUAUUUAUCUAAAGGAAAAGAUAUCAGUAUACUAAAAAUGUACCUGCAUCCCCGUGUUUAUUGCAGCACUAUUCACAACAGCAAAGAUAUGGACUCAGGAACCUAAGUGUACAUCAGUGGAUAAAUGGAAAAAGAAAAUGAGGUAAAUAUAUACAAUGGAAUACUAAUUGACCAAAGAAGAAUGAAAUCAUGUCCUUUGCAGCAACAUGAAUGGAGCUGGAGGUCAUUAUUUUAAGCCAGGCACAGAAAGAUAAUUAUCUUAUGUUAUUAUCAUAUGUGGGAGCUAUAAAAGUUGAUCUCAUGGAGGUAGAGAGUAGAAGGAUAGAUACCAAAGGCUGUGAAAGGUAUGUCUGGAGGGUGAAGAGAGGUUGGUUAGUGGGUAAAAAUACACAGCUAGUUAGAAUAAAUAAUUUAUAAUGUUUGAUAAGAGUUGGUUGACUAUAUUUAACAAUAUAAUGUAUAUUUCAAAAUAAAAAAGAGGACUUGAAAUGUUCCUAACUAUAGAGAUGAUAAAUUGAGGGUGAUGGAUACCCUGACUUGAUCAUUACACAUUCGAUGCAUGUAACAAUAGCACAUGUACCCCAUAAGUAUUAUGUAUCGGUCAAAAAAAAAAAAAAAAGGAAAUCCCAGUGCUUUGGGGGGCCA
rnacentral:lncRNA from 1 species